rnacentral:lncRNA from 1 species
CGGAUGCUCGGUUACAGCUAGUCUUGGUGCAUUUUGGGUGAAUAAAUGUAAUUUCCCAUGGUGGAAUUCUACGUGGAAGGAUAACUUAGAUUGGAUUAUUAAGCAUCUCUCCGACACUAGCUUCUAUCAAUCGGUGGCUCAGUUUGGAUUUGCUGCCUUAUGCUACCUUAUUUGGAAGGAGAGGAAUAACAUCAUCUUCCGCAACCAAACCUUAUCCCUCCCGGCUUUAAAGGAACAUCUUCGCAAGGUUAUCAAGGAUAGAGCCUUUACCUUUUCGAAGGUCCCGGAUAUGACCUGUAAUAGAAGACUACAACUCAGUUGGGGUAUCCAUCCCUCGAUCUUUGACUAAGGUGUUUCAUUUUACUGUUGCUGGCUAUCUCCGGUGCUUCCAAGAUACUCCCCUUGUGUGAUGAGGCGUCCGGUCUCUUCAGCUUUGGAUGCUUCCAUGGUGUCCCUAGCUUGCUGUCUUUCAGUUGUCUGGUUGUAUUCCUACUCCCCUGCGCGGGUGCCUUCAUCUUUCCCCUUCUCUUCCUUUUUGGCUACUGUUUAACCUGCUUCUUGCUGCUGUUCUUUCGUUCCUCUUUCUGCAGCUCCUUUCCUCCCCUCCCCCCUUCCCCGGCACUCUUCCACUCUAUUGACUGGUUGUCUUUUGAGUGUAAGCCUUGGUGCCAGGGUCUAUUGCUAUACAUUUGUGUAGCUCCUUGGUUCUUUAGUUAAUAUAUAUUUACCCUUUACCAAAAAAAAAAAAGUUUAUACACAGAAGCCUACAAAAAGGAAUCGACUUUUACAAAAAUAGAAUUGUCCUAUGACUAACUAGUCAGACAAGAAUGCCAAUUCUUCAAGCUUCACCUUCUAAAAUUCAGGCCUCGGGUCCUCCACCGAUGUCUACUAGGGACCUGAAACUAGUUAUACAAUAACCAGUGAGAUAAUGUCUCAGCAAAUUCAACACCCUAAGACCCAACUAGGAAGAAAAUAUGCCCAAAGUGUUGCCUAAGCACAAUCGUGAAUCAAAGGGCUUACCUUGGCCUCAAUUCCUUUCUGUCAGACAAUACAAUUCAAACAACUAUUCAAUCAUCAUUUCACAAAUCACUUUACCCAACCAAAUCGAAUCAUUGAUCAAUCGACUCAGUCGAUUACAUGUCAUCGAGAAUAUCACAUGGUCAUUUCGAUUAUUCAUUCUCAACUCUUAGUCACGGCCCAAUAGGCACAAGCUAGAUUUAGUGGUAAUCACGGCCACUGGCAUAAUUUAGAUUAAGUGGUCAUCACGGCCCCACUGGCAUAAUUUAGGAUUAGUGGUAAUCACAGCCACACUAUUAUUUAGGAUUAGUCAUAAUCACAGCCCCAUUGACAUAAUUUAGGAUUAGUAGUAAUCACGGCCCCAUUGGCAUAAUUUAUCAUUAGUGGUAAUCACGGCCUCACUGGCAUAAUUUACUUCGGCGGUUUUCCUGAUCUAACUCACAGUCUCACACGGCAAUUUUCUAAUCAAUUACUAUAAAAGACCGGCUCUCAAAAGAAGCUAUCUAAGACCUACUAGUCGGACACAUUUGCCGGUCUUUCGGUCUCCACAGGCUUCGGGGACUUCAAGUCCUCCACAGCACCAUCAGGAGGAUCAGCUACACUCUCACCUAGAGAGGCGUCUACUACCACAACGGAGAUCUCAAAACCCUGGAAGGGACCUUCCCUGUAUCUAAUGAAUCCAUGGCAAAACCACACUCUAAAUCAAUAGGGUACCCUUUGAGAUAGACUCUCAUCGACCCAGAUGGUAAUCACCACGAAUUUUAUAAACCUAGUGGCCCUCGGGAUCAGGGUAGUCAAAACUCCGCUCGGUAACCUUCAUGGGCCGACCAAAACGUUCCGGAGGAACCGCCAUCUAAGGACCUGAAAAGAUUGAGCCCACAACAGGGUGAGACAAUGUCUCAGCAAGUUCACCCCCUCAACUCUGACUAGGAAGGAAAUACGCCUAAAGGCAGUCUAUAAACACAAGACAAAGGACUUACCUUACCUCAAUUCCUUCCUGCACGUCAGUACAAUUCAUAUACUCAAUCAAUCCAUCCAUUCAAUCAAUUGAAUCGGUUCCAAUUCGAUCAUUGCUCGCACAAGCAUGAACUAACACACAUCAAUCCAUUGGCAUAGCUAAGGAUUAUUGCUUGCACAAACUUAUAUGAACUAUUGCUCGCACAAGCUGACAAAUUGUUGCUCACACAAGCUAAGAUAGACUAUUGCUCACACAAGCUGACAUGGAUCAUUGCUCCCACAAGCUAACACAGUCCAUUGCCCACACAAGCUGACACAGAUCAUUACUCACACAAGCUGACAAAUCAUUGCUCACACAAGCUGAGAUAGACUAUUGCUCACACAAGCUGACACAGAUCAUUGCUCCCACAAGCUGACACGAUCCAUUGCUCACACAAGCUGACACAGAUCAUUGCUCACACAAGCUGAUAGAUCAUUGCUCACACAAGCUGACACACCAACUCACAUUAGGGAUAGGUUCACUUAACCAUCACACGAUCAAUUUGAACUAGAAAAAUUGAAAUUCAUACCUUUAAAAUCCCACGAUUAAAUAUAGUUCUUAAAACCAUUUUUGGUGUCAAAACCCGACACCCGAAAUUUUUUCUAAUUAAAUAUCAAAAUUUCACAAUUUUUGAGUAAAUAACCAAAAUCACAAUUACCACUCAAUUUGCACAAUUUAGCAUUCAAUUGCAUAAACUAAGCACACCAUCGCAAUCAGUACGAAAUUCCAGUCACCGACUAUCCAGGUAUAAUUUUCGGAAAAUAAUAAAUAAUUAAAUAAAUACCAAAAAUAAUUAAAUAAAUGUAAUUAAAUACCAAAAAUACCAACUUAGGCUGGAAACGCUAAAUUAACCACCUAAACGAGCCUAGAAAAUUUUUGAACCUAUCUAGAUAAAUAGCACAACUUAUCUAGUCCUUAAUUAAUCUAUUCUAACCACCUAACAUGCACAAUUGAAUAAUUAAAUCACUAAUCCAUGCUAAUUAACCACAUAAUCCUUAAUUAGCUUAAACUAAUCAACCCCUAAGCAUCAUUAACUCUCUAAGCAGAGUUUAGCAAGUAAACUCAUCGAUUUAGCGAUCUGAUGAGUCCAUGAUGUCGGCAACAUAGAGGCAAGCAACAACCGAGCCUACGGCGACACCAACGGAGGACUGAAUGGGCUUGAAAAUGGGCCUAACAGCUCACUGCUUGAGCUACUAGAUGGCUUCUGCUUAGGCCGAGAAAAGCUAGAACCAGUGGUUGAAAUGCCUCGGGAUGGCUGACAGAGGCUGCAGCUAGCUAAGCGGAGGUGGACGGCAGUUGGAACAGUGGCAAACGAUGGCCAAGCAAGCUCAGGUCGACGGCCUGGGCUGGACGACGGCUCUAAACCAUGAGAUGACGAGCAAGAGGUGCGACCUGGCAGGAUGAUGCACGACGAGCUUGCUAGCAUGAGUGGGCGGCUCCGGUGGCCUUGACGAUGGUCGACGGUGAAGGGGGAGGGGCUAGCCGGUUUCUCCUGGUUUUCUAAGCUCUCUCAAGACUCAACAAUGGAUAAAGGAAGUCUCAAAUAGGAAGAAGGAGCUGUUGAAGAUAUAGGGGGUCCCAUUUUUCCACAAAUAUCCCUUUUCUACUCAAGUUCAUGUCCCCACCACUUCAGCCCUAUCCUCGGCCAAUUUUGCAACACAAAAAUUCCCCUAGAAGCUUCCCCAAGUGGUUCAAAAGGUUAUGUCCCCCUUGGCCUACGAAUUUGCCACUUUCCCUCUUCAAUUCCAUUUCAAUUUCUCUUCAAAUGGACUCAAUUGAAGCCCCAAAAAAUUCAACCAAGAUGCCCACACUUGAAUUCACAUUUUUCCUCGCCAAUUUGUCCAACUUGAAUCCCAAAAACGCGACAAAAAAUGAUCCUCUAAUUUUCCCGAUUCAAAACGGCCCUACUUUGAAUUUUCGCCAAAAAAUCCCGGGUUGCAGAAAAAUCUUCGGAGGAUGAGUCGACAUUCGCAAAAUAAAUCGUGACAUGACAAAACUUUCAAUUUCUAAAAUGGGGGUGUAAAUUCACGGUUAAUUUCAACCGAGCGCGAUUUUAGCGUGACCUAGCCUACCAAGUAGCUUUUAGGAAUUUUUAGUGCAAUCAAUCUGUGGUCGAUUAUUUUUUAGCCACAUUGUACAUCUUCAACACAUUGACGACUCUCGAUUGUCAUGAAAAUCUUGAGAUUUCAAAUACGAACACAAUGUACAAAAAUGACAGUAAAAUCAAUCUAGUGCCGUUCAACAUAAAUUUUGCAAUUAGGUGGAAUCACCUGCACACUAAUCACAUACCUCAAUUGAAUCGACCUAUCUCUGGUCUUUGAUCAAUUUUAAGAGCGCCGUAAUGACCCUUGUAGAUUAGCACAGUCGAGCAGUCUAUUCCCAGUCGAAUUUUCAAGUCUAUUGCGUUUAGAUUCCUUAACGGCCUCACCUGAUAGACUAUUGAGUGAUCAGUUCAGGGAAAAUAACUAUAGGCACGUUGAUGAAAAGUCUAACUUAUUCAAUCGAAAACAGAACCCGAAAAUCAGGAUGUCACAACACCCAAUUACAUUAAUCCAUUUGUCAACCUCACUCCGAAUUACCUAUUUGUUCAUCAACUAUAUUCCUUAUUAUAUUAAACUAUUUCUACCAAAGGUGAAGUUUUAACUGUUGAAAGAUCGUCAUAGUUCUCAUUCAACCUACUCACUCGCCCCCCUUUAGGUUGUAUGGUUAGCCUUAAUAAUGGGUAUCAAAGCCUCAUUGCUAAUUGAUCAUUAUUAGAAGUGCAUUUACCUUUAAGAAUAAAGAUCUUGUUAUAGUUAUUUUUACAAUUGGUGCUUCUACAAAUUUCUUUUUGUUGAUAAUCCAUUUGCUAAACUCAAAAUUUAUGGAAUUACUUCCUAAAGGCUAAGGAAUUUACUUAACCUGUCGUACCAAGCUCGAGGUGCUUACUUUAAUCCAUAUAGAGCCUUCUUCAAUCUGAAUACUGAGUCUGGUCUCUUUAGAUCUUCAAAUCUGAGAGGUUGUUCCACAUAAACUUCUUCUUGGAUAAAUCUAUUUAGGAAUGCACUUUUGAUGUCUAUUUGGAAUAACCUGAAAUUUUUAUAACAGGCAAAAGCAAAUAAUAAUCUAAUUGCUUCUAACCUUGCUACUGGUGCGUAGGUUUCAUCAUAGUCUAUCCCUUUUUCUUGCAUAUAUCAUUUGGCCACAAGUCUUGCUUUGUUUCUGACCACCUUUCCUUUUUCGUUCAUCUUGUUUCUGAAAACCCAUUUAGCUCCAAUAAUGGAUUUACCUUUUGGUUUUGGAGUUAGUUCCUAGACAUCAUUAAUAUUGAACUAUCUAAGUUCUUCUUGUAUAACUUCAAUCCAGCUUUCGUCAGCUAAGGCCUCUUCUAUGCUUUUAGGUUCUAUUUCAGAAAUAAGUGCCACGGCACUAGACUCUUCUUGCUUUUUGGAUUUGGUGCGAAUCCCUUCAUCAAUGUCACCAAUGAUGAGUUAUUUGGGAUGACUAGACUCGUGCUUCCAGUUACUAGUCGGUCUAACAAAUUGUUGAUUUUCUACUUCAGUUGAUUUUUCAACUUCUGUUCGUUGUUGAUCUUCAGAAGUCUGAGCUGCUUCAAGGGAGGUAGACUUUGUAAAGUCUGGAGCAGGUUCGGAUUCUUCAGGUUGAGUCUGAAUCAGUUGAUUCUGUAAAGAGUCUUGGAAUUUGACGUUCAUAGAUUCUUCCACAGACUAAGUUUUCUUGUUGAAUAUCCUGUGGGCUUUGCUUGUUGUUGAGUAGCCAAGGAAAAUUCCUUCAUUUGAUUUUUCUUCAAACUUACCAGUUCGAUCAUUUGCAUUUUUCAAAAUAAAACAUUUGCAACCAAAUACAUGAAAAUAAGAAACAAUUGGCUUCUUUCCUUUGAAUAACUCAUAGGAAGUUUUCUCCAUAAUAGGCCCUAAAAAUACUCUAUUAAUAAUAUAACAAGCUGUAGAAACUGUUUCAAUUCAAAAACGAGAAGAAAUAUUACUUUUAAUUAAGAUAGUUCUUGCCAUUUCUUGCAAAGAUCUAUUUUUUCUUUCCACAACUCCAUUUUGUUAUGGAAUGUAUGGAAAAGAGAAAACAUGCUGAAAACCAGAUUUAUCACAGAAUUUGGCAAAGUCUUGAUUUUCAAACUCACCUCCGUGAUCUGUCCGUAUGCUUGAAAUAGCAUAUGCUUUUUCAUUCUGAACUUUCUUGGCAAAUUUUGAAAAGUAAGAAAAUGUUGCAGACUUACUUGCAAGAAAGUAAACCCAAGUAAAUCGUGAAUAAUCAUCCACAAUUACUAGGCAAUAUCUCUUUUUACCAAUGCUUUGAGUUCUAGUUGGUCCGAAGAGAUCCAUAUGCAAAAGUUGCAAAACUCGAUUAGUAAAAAUCUGAUUUAUUGGUUUAAAAGAGCUUUUAACCUAUUUUCCCAACACACAUGGUGUGCAUAAGUCAGACUUUGAUACUUAAGGUUAGGCAGUCCACAAACAAGAUUCUUGGAUGAGAUUUUGGCAAUUUGUUUCAUGUUAACAUAGCCAAGCUUUCGAUGCCAAAGAUUCGCUUCAUCUUGAAUUGAUAUUAGACAUUGAGAUCUUUCUAGUUUUAUAUCCAAAAGAUAAAUGUUCCCAUAUCUUCGUCCAGUAAAAGAAUGAGAAAGAUCUUUACUAGUUCCCGAACAUACUCCUUCUUGGAAGUUGAUUUUAAAUCUAGUGUCACACAAUUGGCUAAUGCUGAGUAGAUUGUAAUUUAGCCUUCCACCAAUGAGACAUUGUUGAUUGUGAGACUUCCAAUAUUUACAAUUCCACACCCAACAAUUCUUCAUUUGCCGUUUCCACCGAAAGAGACUUUUCCACCAUUUAUCUGCAUAAGUUUUAUAAAACAACUCCAUUCAUGUGCCUCGAACAGCCAUUAUCCAAAUACCAUUUAAUCUUUUUCUUGAUAGUGACCUACAAUUACAAAAAGAACUCAAACUUUCUUUGGUACCCAGAUCUUUUUGGGUCCAGAGGAGUUAGUUUUAAACACAGUCUCUCUCCAAUCCUUUUUAACAGGUCUUCAAACCAUAGGACAUUCUUUCUCAAAAUGUUUUGAGCUGUUGCACUUUGAACAUUUAAGAGCACUUCGGCCAACAGGUUUUAUAAAGACUUUUUGAAAAUGAUUUAUGUAAAAAGUUUUUGUAGUUCUUUGUUUGAUUCUUUCAUUUACCAUUGGAAAAUCAAUUAAAGGAAUGGUUUCUGGAGUCAUUCCCAAUCCUGACUUAUUGAAAUAAGGUCUUUGUACUGAAAGAAUCUUUUCCAACUUCUCAAAACCUAUUGAAAAUCUUUUUGAAAUAUUUGAAAUGUCUUGUUUCAAAAAUGUAUUUUCUUUUGAAAGAAAGUCUGCAUUUUCUUUUAAAACCACAAAACUUUUGUCUAGAUUUUUAAACUUUUCUUUCCAAGAAAUUUCCCGUUGCUUAAGUGUAGAAUUCUCCCUUUUUAGCUCGGAAAUCCUCUUAAGAGAGGUUUUGAGACUAAGACAAAGUUCAUCAAUAUAUUCGAAACUUUAGUAGGAAUUUUUAAAUUGCUUACCUCGAUUUCACUGUCAGAGUCUGAGUCUGAAUCUAUCUCAGAGUCUGAGUCUAAUAUUGAUUUUGCCAUUUGUUGACACCUAAAUUUUCGCAUAAUUUUUGGGUUAAUUUUUACCAAAAUAAAAUAAAAAAAGAACACACAUGGCAUAUAAUUUAGAAACAUUUUAUUUUGUUUUGUUUUAGGCCGCCGGUGAAGGGAAGAUUUUUCACAUAUUCCGUUCAGAUUUUUCACACAUUUAGGCAAUAUACAUCAAAGGAUGUAUUUUCAAGCAAAAACGAAAAUUUUGGAUGGGAUAUUUGAUAAAUACAAAAGGUAAUAUUGCGCGGGGUGCAACGAUAUAUUCAGUGGUAUUUUGCAUGAGCAAAAUUAGAAAGUAAAAUAUACCACGAAGAUCCAAUUUUUUAGCUAUAAAAGGGACCGCAUAUGGACAAAGUUUCAGGGGGGGUAUUUUUCGUCGGGUGAAAAAGUACACAAAAAGCAAACAAUGAAAAAGUGAGGUAAGAGAGAAAAACCGAAAAAAAAAAAACCCCGCGACUAUUCAUCUUCCUCAUGGGGGGUGUCUGCCCGUGCCGGCCCCGCUUGCCCGCGCCGGCUGCCAAGCCACCAGCGACCCAAAAUUGCGCCGCCGCCGAGCCAACCUUCCCAGUGCUGCCGCGUCGCUGUCUCGAAGAGCCUCCACGCCGCCCCCGACGCCCGCAGCUCGACGCCGCUCGCUGCCUAUAGAUCUGAACAGCAACCGGCCUAGAUCCGACGCUGCCCCUGUCUCCUCGUCCCUGCCCGCGACACCGUCCACCAAUCUUGCCGCGCCACCCCGUUGCCGCUUCUGCCUCACCUCUGCCGGUGCCCAGGGUCCCCUGCCUGCAACGCCCGCUCCCAGAGCCGACGUCGUCCCGUGCUGAUCUCGAAGCCCCUGGUGCCGCAACGCCGCCGCGCCGAUCCCCGAAGCCCCUGUUGCUGUGCCACCGUCGCGCCGCUCCCAAUACCCUCACUGGAACCCUAGCCAGCGAUCUCCCCUCGCCGGACAGGCCACCAGCUUUAUUUUUCUUUUUCUUUAAAAAAAAAAUAGCAAAAAAGAGAAAAGCAAAAGAAAAUUUAGGUAUUUUCUUUAUCUUAUUUUUGUUUUAUUAUUUUUGCUGUUUUAUUUUAUCUUUUAGUGUAAUUAUUCCUUUGAUGUGAAAUUGAAAUUCCAUGAUAUGAAAUUGCCUUGAAAUUAGUGAUUAUUAGUCCGAUUUUCGCGCCCGAAAUCCGACUCGCAAUUACUUGAAAAAAUUGCCAAUCCGAUCUCCCGCCCAAGAUCCGAUUUGUGAUUUAUGUGAAAUUGGUCAACCCGAUCUCAUGCGUGAGAUAUGGUUCGUCAAUUUGGGUAUCAAUAUUGCUUGAUUUGCCGUGGUGUUACCUAGGUUAGUUUUCUUUAAAAAAAAAAAAAUGUAGUUUUAGGGUUUGCAUGCUCACAAUAGGAAUUUUAUUUCGAAUUUUCAAAAAAAAAAUCAAAUCAAUUAAUUUAGGUUGCUAGUUUUUUUUUUUAACUUGGAUUGCAUGUUUAAUUAUUUGGCAAUUAUUAAUUUCGAAAUUUAAAAAAAAAGGAAAAAAGGAAAAAAGGAAAAAUACAAAAAAAAAAAAAAGUCAUUAUGCAAAUGUCAUGUAAAAUUAGAGCAUCUUUUGCAUGUCAUUGCAUAUUAGGGUAAAAUUGCAUUUAAUUUAAUUUUAAAUAAUAUUUUUCAUAAUUUAUUAUAGGUCUAGGUAUUUUAUUAAAUAGAUUGCAUUUUAGGAUUAUUUAGGUUAAGAUAAUAUUUUAUUUUAAAUUAGGAUUUGGCUCAACCUAAUUCCUAAUAUAAAUUAAAUAGGAUCUUAAUCUAAUUAGGUAAUUUUCACAUUUCACCAAAUUUUGAAUUUCAUGAAAAAUACCAAAAAAAAAUGUCAUAGGUUAAAUUAGUUUUAUUAUUUAGGAUAAAAUGCAUUCUUUUAGAAAAUGCAAAAAAAUGUCAUAUGCACGUCAUUAGGAUUAGAUUCAUUGAAAUGCAUGUCAUUUAGUAUUUUUGCUAGGCCCAUUUAAUUAGAAUUUGUAUGUCAUUAGUAUUAGGUCAUUUAGUUAACAUCGCAUUGUAUAUUGCAUGAUUUUCAUUAAUUAAGUGAAAAAAAAAAUUGCGUGUUAAUUAGAAACCAUAUCUAGGAUUAUUGAUAUGGAUGUUAAUUUAACAUUGCAGAUGCUUUCGUUGCUUUGAGGUAAGUUUUUGCAAUUUAUUUAUUAUUUAUUUGGGUGUUAAAUUGGUGGAUUGUGCACCCGCAUGAUCGCCUCACAUGUUAGGAAACUAGAUUUAAAAUCAAUCCAAACUGCUUGCCAAACAUUUUUUUUUAAAUAAAAUAGAAAGGUGCAUUAGAGAAUUCUAGCAUAACCAAGUCUCCAAACUCAUAAAUCUCUUGUUCAUAUGAGUAAAGUAAAUCUUCCAUUACUUUACUUGGGUUUCUAGUCGACCCACCAAAAAUAGAUUAGUGGCGACUCCUAAUUAAAAAAAUUGCAUGUUAAGAACUUGAAUCAAAAGUCGCGAAUUGGUAUGGGUUUGGGAGAGCCCGAAUUAAGUCUAGGCUUAACAAUUUAUUAGCCAAACCCUAGGUGGUUCACACCCGAAAAUUUGGUCGCGACAGCUUGGCGACUCCGCUGGGGACUUGUGUUAAAACACAUAGUGGACUUAGGCCAAUUUUCUUUUUUGAAAGAGUUUUUGUUUGGCAGCGAGGAUUCUAGGUACGUCCCUAACAUUUAAGGUGUUAGAUGUUUUUGCAGGAUGGGAGGUAUAAGGGGAAGUGUUUGCUCACAUUUGUUUUGCAGGGAGGUGUAGGAAGGUAUGGUUUAUUUUCAUGAAUGAAGUGUUGUUUGAUAUAAAUUGUCGUGCAUGCCUUGCAUCUAGCACUACACUAUUGCACACACAACCUGCCGCCGGACCUGGGCCACAUAGGAUCAUUUAGGAUGGUGUUGAGAUUGAUACCACUCUGACCGCAUGCUCGCGGUACGAGUCGCCCAUCUCAAUCCCGAAGUUUCUUUCAUGGUAUCAAGAGUACCCAUCUCGGUCCACAUGCCCGCGACUCGGGCCGGCUCUUUGACCAAGCCGGAGUCAUGAGGACCCGACAUAGUCCACAAGCCCGUGGCUAAUUUGAUCAUCCUUGUGGCUCCAUCUUGAUAAGCCUUAUAGAUUAGAAAUCGAGCCACUUACCAUGCGCAUGUCUAUGUGAUUGUCCAUCAUUGGUAAAGUAAGUUCUCUAAAUUUUUGGCCUUUCCAAUUUACUUACUUUAUCGCAUUAUUUUGUCGGUCCAUGGCAUUAGGAUUGUCCUAAGUCUUGAUCAAUAUACAAUGGGGACACCGGAAAUUCGAAUUAUUCUCCCUCCAAAGGAAGAGCUUAGCGCUUGGUGAGACAAGUUAGAUCAAGAUAGCCGUCAUUUCGUAGAAUCACAUAUUGGUCGACUGCUUCCAUUGCUGCGUAUCAACAUCCAUGGCGGCCUCGUCCAAGCACUCGCCCACUAUUGCUGCCCCGAGACCUCUACCUUUAUCUUUGGCGGUAAGCAUGAGCUCACUCCCACCUUGGAAGAGUAUAGCAUUGUCGUAGGAAAGUCCUUGAAAGCUUAAUUGAUUAGUCCGCCUAUCAGAAUAGAUCUUGUUAUGGCCUUAUCUGAUUUUCUGAGAAUUAAGGAAGACGAUAUAAGAAAUGUUUUAAAGGCUAACCGCAACGCAUGUCCUUUAUCUUUUCUGAAACAAUGUUUUGAGAAAGGCACUUCAUCUCAAAUGCGAAGGGUUUUCCUUUUAGCUUUCUUUAGGUUUAUAGUUUUUCCUUACUGCAAGAAUGCUAUUAACCCUUUGAUCGCUCAAUUGGUUAAACAAGUGUUGGAAGGAAAGAAUUUUGUAAACACUGUUCUAACUGAAACUUUCCUUUCCCUCACUUGAUUUAAAGGAGGUGGUGAUAAGACUUUCCAUUCAUCUCCUGAACUUUUACAAAUUUGGUUUCUUUCACAUAUAAAAGGGUUUGGUGGUCUAAUGACUAUACAUGAUGUUAGUAAUUCCAAUCACCCUAUUAUGAGAUUUGAGAACAACCAAAAACAUGCAUCGAAUUAUCAUUAUUCUAGGUGGCUAGCUUUCAUGAAAAAAAAUCAACUUCCAAGGGUUUCCUAUGGCAUGCUAAAUGGUUCCAAGUUCGGGUAGUGAGACUCUCGUGUGGAGGAGUUGGCCCAAUCCCUCUAUUGGGAUUCACUGGAGCAUUGGAGUACUAUCCAACUAGAGUGACUUGUCAGUAUCAAGUCGUACAAGAGCUUCCCCUGGCCUUACAAGUGGAUCCACUCCAAGUUAGCUUCAUUAAUGGAAGCCGAAGCCAUGAAGAUUCCAUUCUCACUAUCAAAUCAAUGUGGGACAUGUGCCAUCCACGAAAGCUUAAGUGGCCCGAGGAAGAGUUGAAGGAAAAAGAAAUGAAGUAUUAUGCCUCGACUAAGUACAUUCAACAACACAAGAUUCCUGAGGAACUGCUUCCGAAGACACCAGAGGUGCCAUUGAGGAUCACCAAUCGUGCUGAGAAUAAACGCCUCAAAAGAGUUGUUGAAAGAGCUCAAGAAGAGAAUAAACUAUUGCGCCGAAUGGUGUCCCGAGUGUAUAUUGAUCAAGCCAAAUGAAAUGCUUGAAUCAAUCUUGCUAUUUUUAUUUUUAGAUUAAUGUUUAGGAAGUUGGGUCAUUUACUUUCCUAGUUAAUUUGUUUAGGAUAUUUCGAAUUUCUAGGCUUGUCAAAAGCUCCAUUGAUGAAUAAAAUUUCUAGAGUAUUGCCAUGGAUCGGCGUUUUUUCAUAUGAGAUACUUAUUUGUGUUCAUUUCUUAAAUUUAGGUGAUAACGGAUCCUCCACGCUCUCCCAUUAUCACGCGAUUAAGAGCAAGAAUGGCCGACCAAAGCGAGAUGCGCGAUCGCAUGUCCUCUGUGGAAGAUCAACUCAAACAGUUAGUGUGACACCCCGAACCCCCUAGGGACGCCACAGGCACCUGACGUUACACCUAAUGGAACACUAGCCACACCUCUUAAAAGAAGUGUCGUAAAUCAUAGACAUUUUUUUUUUAAAGCGGUCCCAGCGCGACUCAUUAGCGGAAGCAAAAUAUAACAUCGACAUCUCUCCCUCCAACAACCAUGAUACAAUUGCACACCACUAAACAUCAUAAUAAAAGACAAAGCCACGACACUUUAUUUACAUAUUUUCAAGAUGGGUUUCCUUGGGUCGGUACAUCAAAAGAAAGGCCGGGACUCAGCCAUACUCGGCCUAAAACCCAAAAAGAAACAUUCGACCCACUACAACUCACGUGUAAGAUCCCCCAUCGCUAGUGUCGGCUAACCAUCCCAAAAAGUUUCAGCUCCAACUUGACACGCACGGGCCCUCACACCCAUCCCGGUGCAUCAGGCGGUGGCGGCGGCAGCAUCCCGCGCAUCGCUCCAUUGCGUCGAACAUGGACGAAUAUGAACUCCUAGACAACAGGGCUCCCAGCCAGGCCCACAUCGUACAUAACUAAACAGUGCACUCAAAUAUACGUAAGACCAGGAACAGAAGGACAGUCAAACUCCUCGCACUCGACCUCUACAUCCGAAGGUAUGCCGUAAAAUACGCCCCGCGUGACAGCAGGGAGCGGCAUGUUGCUAAUCUGAAAUGUUGGUCCCCGAAUGGGUGAGUACAACCACUCAGCAGGUAAAGGAAUCCAAUAACCGCUCAAUGCAUCACACAAUACAAUCACAAAAUCAUACAUGUCAAUCAUGCCAUCCAAGCAUACUUACCUCGAAGCCAUGCAUAUAGCAUCAUACAUCUUCAUCACAAUCAUAACACAUACAUGUCAUCAUGUCAUAGGUUAUCAUCAUCAUGUCAUACACAUGUCAUCAUCAUCAUGGCAUCAUCAUAUCAUAUUAUAUAUCACCAUCAUCAUGACAUCAUCCUAUCAUACAUGCAUCAUCAUGCCAUAGGUGAUCAUCAUCAUAUCAUAUCAUACAUGCAUAUCAUCAUGCCAUAAGUGAUCAUCAUCAUAUCAUAUCAUAUAUCAUCAUCAUGCCAUAGGUGAUCAUCAUCAUAUCAUGUCAUGUAUGCAUGAUUCAAUUUCCACUUUUAACUUUCAAUUCGAUCACCACAUCAUUCUUUCUCAGGAUCAUCAAUUUCAUCCCAUACUUUACACUCGCACCCCAUCCUGGCAUCGCAAGAAAAACCUCUGGCAUUCAGCCACUUAAGGCCACCGGGCAUCCGGCACCCCCCACAUUCCGGGCAUCUCGCAUCCCAACUGGCAUCACGAGGCAUCCCCUCGGGCAAAGACCUCCGAGGCUUCCGGCACUCAACCAUUCCGGGCAUCCUGACACUCCCAGGGCCAUCCGACCAUGUAUCUCUAUACAUUCCGGGCAUCCGGCACCCCCCAUCCCGGGCAUCCUAAUACUCCCAGGGCAUUAUCAUCCGCCAUAACAGUUUCCUCAUUUAUCAUGGUCCACAUUUACCGAUUUAGGUCUCACUUAGCAUGGCACAUGAUGCAAUGGCAAAUAAAAUCACGUUCAUCCUUCAAUCUAUACAUGCAUUAUCAGUCAUCAUCAUACAUGCAUCAAGGUACAAUCAUCCAUAAAGAUAGAAUUCAUGGAAUUCAUACAAUUUAAAAUAGUCCAUUUAUCAUGCCCUCUUUUUUUUUUUUUGAAAUUUAUUUAAAUUCCAGCUUGUGUCAUUUUUGAAAAUAUUUAAAUUAAAUAUCUAUAUAAUUCUCAAAAAUCAUGAAAUUAAGGCUAGUGAUAGACAAGACAAUAGGGUAAUAAUUUCAUGAAAAAUACAAGGUCAAUCAAAUUCCACACAAAAUUACAAUUCACACAAAUACAGCAUGUAAUUUCGGAUAAAAACAGAAUGCACAGUUUCUGAAAAAAUUUGAUUAAAAUAUCCAAACGACCUCCGAAAAUUAUGAAAUUUUACCAGGUUAUAGCCAAGACACUAAAGUAGAUUUUUCAUGAAUACUUCUAAGCCAAAUUAUUUUUAUAUUAUUUUAUACAGUCACACGAAGCUUCUGGAUCUAACACCGAAACGUCCAGUGCAUGGUUCUCCGAAAUACUGAGUUUUUACCCACUUAUACUUCUUCUUUUCCUCUGAAAUUUGGAUAUGUUUUACUUCAAGAUGUCCCCUACAACUUGAAUGAAGAGAUCUAAGUCAAAUUUCCAGAGGACAGUCUCUAUAUGGGUCCAUGAAGUCUCGGGUAACCUGUACCGCGUCUCCAGAUCUACGGUUUUCAAGAGUAGGUUGAUUCACUAGGCUACACUUGUUCAUUUUGCUUCAAAUUUGAGUAUGUUAAACUUCAAGAUGUUCUCUACAAGUUUUAUGAAGAAGUAGAAAAGAUAUUCUUAGUAAAAAUCAACAUGCAACCACAAAUCCACCAAAAGGUCAGUGAAAUCGUUCCAGAUCUGGUGUCUCCGUAGGAUGAGAGUUUGACCCCACAAAUCUCCAUCAUUUUGCACCAAAUUUUAGUAUUUAUAGUUUAAGAUGUUGGCUACAAUUUUCAUGAAGAUAUCAAAGUCAAAAUCGAACUCAAAACAUGCAUGCAAGCUCUCACAAGAUUCUGACUCAGGCGGUUCAUGCGAAAACAUUCCAGAUCUAGCAUUUCCGUAGGAUGAGAGUUUGACCCCUUAAAUCUCCAUCAUUUUGCACCAAAUUUUAGUAUGUUGUAGUUUAAGAUGUUAGAUACAACUUUCAUGAAGAGAUCAAAGUCAAAAUCGAACUCAAAACAUGCAUGCAAGCUCUCACAAGAUUCUGACUCAAACGGUUCAUGCGAAAACAGCAUGCAACUCAAGAACAAAACACAUUAGCUUCACUCCCAUGCCUCUAAAUGUCCUAGAUUCCGACCAUACAUGCAAGAAAUUAGUGCAAGAUUAGAAAGUAGAUUCCCAACUUGCCUCUAGACCGAAUGAACAGCAGCAAGCGGACGGCACACCGGCGACAGACGGACGGCGUGCGGCGGCGACUCCUUCCCCCUCUCGGCCUCUCCUCUCUCGGCCACACUCUCUCCCUCUCUCUCGCACGGUUCUCUCUCUCUCUCUCCCUUUCUCUCUUGGCCGAACAACCGGCCACCCCUCUCUCUCCUCUUCUCUUUUAUUUCCCUUAAACCUCAUCAUUAGCUUGCCUCCUGAAUUGGCCAAUGCAUGGAGACCUCCUUGCCACUUGUCACAACACAUGCAAGAUGGGCUUUGGGCUUGGGCUUGGGCCGGCCACUCUCCUCCUCCUUGGUCGACGGUCACACUUCUUUGGGCCUUAAUGGGCUGGCCAUCUUGGCCCAUUAAGAGCUCAAGCUAUUGGGCCUAAGGCCCAACCUAAUUCAAAUCAAUUUUACCCAUUUUCUAUCCUUUAUUUUAAGAAUUAAAUUACUAAAUUCUACAUGGCCAAAAAUCUUGUAACAUUUUAUUUAUAGAAACUUAGUCUAUAAAGUGCAUAGCCAAGCAUAUAUUAUUCUCAUUAAUUUAUCUAAUUUAAAAAACUCAUGAUCACAAGCACAUAACACAUGGCCUUAAGAGACAACUAAUGGCUAAAACAUAAACCAUAGGAAAUUUCAUUACCUAAUUAUAGGCUUUAAUUCCUCUAGAGGAUGACUUGAAUUUUUUGGGAUGCCACAGUUAGCUGCUUCCAUGCAGCUUAUAAUAACUCAACUUCAAUCCCUCCAAGUGAACCCGAGUCCUCCACCCGCUCUCCCAGAGAUAGUGGAAAAGGCUAAGCUUGUCAACAUCCCUAAGAUGGAGCAGGAUGAACGCUUUACAAAAAUUGAAGAAAAGUUGAAACAAUUGCAGGAGUCGCAAAGUUCACUCCUGUUCGACUUGUCCAUGUACGAGAAAGUCAAGAUGCCAAAGAAGUUCAAAAUGCCAGAUUUUGAGAAAUAUGAUGGUACUUCCUGCCCAAAAGCUCAUCUGCAGAUGUACCACGUGCGUAUGGCCUAAUAUGUCAAGAACGAGCCCCUCAUGAUCCAAUCAUUCCAUUCGAGUCUGACUGGGCCUGCAUUGAAUUGGUAUGUCAUGAAGAAUGUGAACCUUCUCAACACCUGGAAUGAAGUGGCCGACGCAUUUCUCAAACAAUACAUGUUCAAUAUGGAUAUUGCACAUUCCCGAGAGGAUCUCGAGAGGAUGGAGAAAAAGAAGAGCAAGUCAUUCAAAGAGUAUGCCGUGAGAUGGCGAAAUCUGGCAACUCAAAUCACCCUUGAGCCUACUAACAAGGAGCUGAUGAAGUUGUUCAUCAAAACUCUCCCGUCCGAGUUCCGUAUCCGGAUGGCCAGCACUUACGUUGAAAACUUCAAUAAGCUUAUUCCUGUGGGGGAACAAAUCGAGAUGGGGAUAAGGGAAUGAUGGUUUACUGAACCAUCGAGUAGAAGAUUCUCUACCAAGAAAGAGAAGAAGGCUGCUGUAGACGUGAAUGUGGCUUAUGGCCAAGAAAGUACCAAUCGCGCCCCGGCUAUCCAAACGAAUCAAAGGCAACAACAAAUUGCCGGUCGUCAGCCAUUCGCCCAAGCAAGAAGGCAAUUCAUGCCUCUCCCUGGAUCUCCAUCCCAAGUGUUAGCUAUCCUAAGAAAGAAAAUUUUGCUUACUAAUGAACCGAAGCGUCCUAAUCGCGAGAGUAUCCGAGGCUACGACCUGAUGAAGAAGUGUGAUUACCAUAGUGGCGAAUUAGGGCAUUUAACUGAUGAAUGUUUCACUCUCAAGCAUAAGAUCCAAAACCUCUUGGACACGAAGGCCUUCUCAUUUCAAACUGCUCGACCAAAUGUCCAAAAGAAUCCGCUGCCAGAACAUGAAGGUACAAUCAAUGCUAUCUUAGAGCCUGAAGUCAGUCGGAUCAAGAACUCGAAGGUACAUGUGGCAGAUGCUUACAACGGCCUAGUGAGAGCUGGAUAUUAUCCAGAUCAGGAGGAUGUUCCUCUAUCACUGAUGAAGGAAAGAGUCACCAGGAUGGUGGAUGACGACAUCAUUGUCUAUGCUGACCAAAACUGCAUAGUUUCCACUAUUUCCCCCAUCAUUAUCGAUUAGGAGGAGGAGCAAACUGCGCUCAAUGCUGAUAAGGAGGAAGUUGAUCCUUCACUUGUGGACAUGCCCCCACUUGAAGAUGCAUCCGACGAUGAGAUAGUGAUUGAAAUGCCUCAACCGUAUGAAUAUAUCAAUAAUAAGGCGGUCCAUUGGUCCUAUGAUCUAGAUGUUGAUAUCGUUACAAGGUCUGGUCGGACUUAUUCUCAAGCCAAUGCUCAACCCGCGAAACCUAUCACCAAUGAGGAGGCUAAGGAGUUUCUGGCCAUGAUCAAAGCAAGCGAGUAUAGUGUGGUUGAAUAGUUACGAAAGAUGCCCGCCCAGAUUUCUUUGCUCCAACUCUUGCUUACAUCCCCUAUGCAUCAAAAGUUGCUAAUAAAGGUGCUGGAUGAAAUUCGUGUACCCGAAACAGUCGAGGUGGACAAGCUGGAAGAUUUUGUGGGAUCAAUCCUUCUUAAGGAUAUGAUUGCAUUUUCAGAUGAGGAAUUCCCUCUUGAGGGUAGGGGGCAUAACAAGGCACUUUAUAUAUCUGUCAAGCAUAAGGCUUCUCAUGUGUCUCGAGUACUUAUUGAUAAUGGGUCCGCCCUGAACAUAUGUCCACUAGCCACUCUUCAUCGCCUCAAGGUGGACCCAUCCAGGAUACAUGCUACAAAGACUUCUGUUCGAGCUUUUGAUGGUACGAAGAAGGAGGUGCUUGGGGGGAUUCACCUUGAUGUGUAGAUAGGGCCGGUGGUUUUCAAUGUUCCCUUCCAGGUAAUGGAUAUCCCUACUGCCUUUAAUUUUCUGCUCAAUUGUCCCUGGAUUCAUAUGGCUAGAGCUAUACCAUCAAGUCUGCAUCAAGCUAUGAAGUUUGUGACCAAGGGGAAACUGGUCACUGUCUAUGGCGAAGAGGAUCACCGAAUUUACCAUGAGAUAGCUAUCCCUUAUAUAGAGCCAGACUCCGAGUUCGAGUCAAGUUACCACUCAUUUGAGUUGGUGUCCACCAUACAUGCAUCUCGAGACUCAUCGCCACCCACUCCUGAAGUCUCAAAUGCUACCCUUAUGGUGGGAAGGAUGAUGGUCGGGAAUGGUUUCAUUCCUGGUAAUGGCCUUGGAAGAAAUGGUCAGGGGAUUCGAAACCCCAUUGAAGCCCCUCAGAGGUCCCGUGCUGCUGGAUUAGGGUACCAUGGAAGAGGUGGGGAAAGUUCUGGAGGACGAAGACAGAAAAGGCGGAACCCACCACCUGAUCACGGGCGAGGAAGGCAAAACCUAUUACCCCCGAACAUUCGCGAGACAUUCCCUGGUCCUCCGAUAAUGAUGCAGGAUGAAGCAGAAAUAAUGGACACCGUGGGGCAGCUAAGCAGAAAAUUAGACUAUCUGGUGAAGUAUUCGGCUCCUCCCAGUUUCUACAUUGAUCCCUGUGACAUUGUCCCAGAUGGAUGGGGUGGCAUGGAUGAUUUGACACCCUCAGAAACGGAAAACCUCGAAGAUGCAUUGGAAGGAAUCUCUAGUCUCUUCGAUGACGUCUCCAUAGGGAUCAUUGACGAAGGACCUCCAGAGGAGAUGGGCCCUAGCCCACAAGAGUAACUCAUUUACUGCUUUCUCACAUUCCCCUGCGUGGGAAUUUUUAUCACUUUCUAGGGCUUGUUUUUUAUUUCUUCUUUUUCACUUUCUUUUUAGGACUUGAAAAUUGCAUUUCCAUUCAAUAAAUGUAAUUGAUUGAUGAAUAUCAAUAAAAUUACAAGUUUUAUUUUGAGGGCAUGAUGAGGUACACCAAACCAGCCCGGUGAUGAUAUCCAGCCGACAAAAGAAAAAGAAAAUCCAAUGAGAAUUAUGAGGCCUGAGCUUCAUUAUGCUUUCUCGUGUCAAAAUAUUUUUUCAAAAAAAAUGUUUUUGCCAAAAUUCUUUUUAAAAGAAAUAAUGAAAAAACAAAAACAAAAAAAAACAAAAAUGUAGAUUACUUUGUUUGUCUUUCUAAUUUAUUUACUUCAUGUUUCAGGAACAAUCUUACGGCAUACAAAAUUAUGGAAAUGGUCCGACCCAAUGCAACAAAUGCUGACAUUGACGACCUCGAGGACUUGAAGGAAGAUUUCAUUGAGGUGCAGCGAAGCUGGGAACAACAUGAAAAAGCCAAGACUCUUACAUCCGAGCAGACUGUCACUAUUAAUUUAGGUGACACCGAAGAAGUCAAGGAAGUUAAAAUUGGGGCAAAUCUCCCAAAAGACAAGGCCGAGCGCCUAACUCAGCUACUAAAGGAAUAUCGGGAUGUCUUUGCAUGGACCUAUGCUGACAUGCCUAGUUUAGACCCAUCGAUCGUCAAGCAUUGCUUGCCUACUAAUUCGGACGUACCACCUAAGAAGCAAAGGCUCCAGAGAACUAAGCCUAAGCUCUCGAAGAAGAUAGAGGAAGAGGUGAUGAAGCUUCUGAAGGUGGGAUUCAUUGAAGUCUCACAAUACCCUGAAUGGGUGGCUAAUAUCAUGCCGGUGAUGAAGAAGGAUGGUCGAGUUCAAGUUUGCGUCGACUAUCGAGAUCUGAACAAGGCUAGCCCAAAAGAUGAUUUCCCGCUGCCUCACAUAGAUGUCCUCGUGGAUAGUACUGCCGAAUUUGAACUAUUCUCGUUUAUGGAUGGGUUUUUCGGGUACAAUCAGAUAAGGAUGAAGGAGGAAGACAAGAAGAAGACUACAUUUAUCACCCCAUGGGGGACCUUUCAUUACAAGGUCAUGCCCUUCGAACUCAAGAAUGCAGGGGCAACUUACCAACGAGCCAUGGUAACACUAUUCCAUGAUAUGAUGCAUCUGGAGAUUGAAGUCUAUGUUGAUGAUAUGAUUGCAAAGACUCGGCCCAGAAGAAGUCAUGUGGAAACCCUGAAGAAGUUGUUUGAUCGACUCUGUGAAUUCAAGCUUCGUCUAAACCCCACUAAAUGCGUAUUCGGAGCAACAUCCGGUAAUUUGCUCGGAUUUAUUGUCAGUAAUAAAGGAAUUGAGAUCGACCCCUCUAAAGUUAAGGCCAUAUGCGAGUUGCAACCUCCAGCAACGGUGAAAGAAGUUUGAAGCCUUUUGGGAAGACUGAAUUACAUAGCUCGGUUCAUUUCCCAAUUCUCUGAAACUGCUAAGCCAUUCUUCAAGCUCUUAAAGAAGAAUGCCCGAGUCAACUGGAAUGAUGAGUGUCGAGAGGCGUUUGACAAGUUGAAGCAAUACUUGAUGAACCCACCGGUACUUGUCCCACCAUCGCUGGGGCAUCCCUUGAUUCUCUAUGUCACCAUCCAUAGUGAGUCGCUGGAUAUGAUGUUGGCUCAGGAAAGUCCAGUUGAUAAAAAAGAACGAGUCAUUUACUAUCUGAGUAAAAAGUUCACUAUAUCAGAGUUGAAGUAUUCUGAUGUUGAAAAGACUUGUGCCGCAUUGGUGUGGGUAUUGCAUAGAUUGCGACAAUACACGCUGCAUUACCAGACGUUCAUUGUGACUGAGAAUGACCCCAUCAAGUACUUACUUGAUCAACUAGCUCUGGUGGGAAAGUUAGCCAAAUGGCAAAUUUUGAUUUCCGAAUUUGAUGUGCAAUUCAUGCCACAAAAGUCAGUUAAGGGUCGAGCGAUCGCUGAUCUAUUGGCUAAAAAUUCAGGAGUCUCUAAUGACAAUGACAGUUUCCUUGAUGACCGUGUCUUGAGUGUAAAUGAAGACUCAUGGAAGAUGUUCUUUGAUGGAGCUGUAAACUUGUCUGGUUCUGGUACUGGGGCAGUUUUAAUAUCCCUAGAUGGACAGCACUAUCCGGUGGCUGCAAAAUUGAUAUUCCCAUGCACUAACAAUGUGGCCAAGUAUGAAGCUUGCAUCCUUGGAAUUCAAGCCGCAAUUGAGAUGGGUGUGGCCAAGUUAAUGGUAUUCGGAGAUUCAGCAUUGAUCAUAUUACAGACUGUAGGUGAGUGGAAGACCAAGGAUGCCAAGUUGCUCCCAUACCACGAGUAUUUAGAAGGUCUUGUGAAGGAAUUCGAAGAAAAUUCGCUUGAAUACUUGCCAAGGUCUCACAAUCAAUUUGCCGAUGCACUCGCAACUUUGUCAUCUAUGUUACAAGUCAUGAACGGGUUAGAAGUUGAGCCAUUGAAAAUAGAGGUUUUGCCGAAGCCGGCUUAUUGUAUGAUCAUAACUAAAGAACCUGAUGGAAAACCAUGGUAUUACGAUAUCAUGAACUACAUUAAAAGGUAGGAAUUUCCUGAAUGAAGCACUCCCGUUGAUAGGAAGUACAUCACGAAGAUGGCCUCAAAAUUCUUCGUUAGUGGUGAGAAUUUGUACAAGAGAUCUUAUGAUUCAGUCUUGUUGCGGUGUGUGGAUGCAAUCGAAGCCACUCAAAUCAUGCAAGAAGUGCACGCAGGAAUAUGUGGCCCUCAUAUGAAUGGGCACAUGAUGGCUAAGAAGAUUAUGAGAUUAGGCUACUAUUGGCUCACACUAGAAAGUGACUGCAUCAAGCACAUACGAAGUUGUCACCGCUGUCAGAUUCAUGGUGAUAAAAUAAAUGUUCCUCCAACUGAGUUGCACCAGUUUUCCAAGCCAUGGCCCUUCUCAAUGUGGGGCAUUGAUGUGAUUGGCCCAAUAAAUCCUAAGGCUUCAAAUGGGCAUCGAUUCAUCUUGGUGGCAAUAGAUUACUUCUCCAAAUGGAUCGAAGCUACAUCCUUUGCAAGUGUCACUGCUCGUAAUGUUGUGAAGUUUGUCAAACGUGACAUAAUUGCUCGUUAUGGUGUCCCUGAAGCAAUCAUCACUUAUAAUGGGACCAAUUUGAACAACAAACUUAUCGAUGAGUUGUUCGGAGAGUUCAAAAUCAAGCAUCUGAAUUCGUCUCCUUACCGCCCUCAAAUGAACGGGGCCGUUAAAGCGGCCAAUAAGAACAUUAAGAAGAUUUUGGCUAAGACAGCCGAGAAUUAUCGAGAUUGGCAUGACAGAUUACCCUUCGCACUAAUGGCAUACCGGACAUCGAUCCGUACUUCUACUGGGGCAACGCAUUUUGCUCUGGUGUACGGCAUGGAAGCAGUUUUGCCUGUGGAAGUAGAGAUUCCGUCCUUGAGAGUUUUAUCCCAAGCAGAGUUGUCUGAAGCUAAAUGGUUGCAACAAAGACUUGAACAGUUAAACUUGAUUGAUGAGAAAAGACUGAAGUCUCUUUGUCAUGGCCAAGCUUAUCAGCAAAGAGUUGCCAGAUCCUUCAACCGAAAAAUACGACCGAGACAUUUCGAGGUAAAUGAUCUUGUUCUAAGGAAGCUGUUGCCAAUUUUCCCUGAUCCUAGGGGCAAGUUCACCCCCAAAUUACAGUGGUCCAUAUGUGGUGAAGAAGGUACUUCCUGGAGGUGCCUUGAUCUUGGCAGAAAUGGAUGGUCGUGAGUUUUCCACUCCAGUUAAUUCUGAUGCUGUCAAGAAACAUUAUCCAUGAUAGAAUUUGACAUGUCUUGUCUUGAACUGCAAGUAUUUUAUGAUGAAUAAGAUGCCUCAAUCAAUUGAAUUGUUCAAAUUUGUCAUAAAUUUUGCAUUCUUCUUCCUUAAUGAAUCGUGUGAGAUAAAAUGAAUGUGUCAAAUGAGAUAUCUUGGAAUGAUGAAAGGCAAGCCUUGUUCCAUACACUAAUCCUUGGUGAGUUGUGUGGAAAAGUUCCAUCCCUGCAAGGAAGAGGGUGAUCUCGCAAAGUGUACGCUAACCAAGGUGAUGAGAGGCAGUUCUUUCCUCUACCCGAGACAGGUAUAUCCAUUGUUUAGCUAUUUGAACCCAUACACGUGAAGAGUUUUUAAAUCAUCCCUGUCAAGGAUUAUCCCAUAUUGGGACAAUAUUUGAGAUGACUGAUAGGAAUUUUCUUACUCACACUUGCAUCAAUCUUCGAGUAUUGCUUUCGCAUUGUAACUCGUACGAUAAUUCAAAGUGCCCUAGGAUGAUGAAGAGCAGUCAUUUCUCUAUCCUAUACACUUUUAUCAAUUGCAUAGCCUAUUUGAGCCUAUAAAUUCGUGUCAUAUUAAACCCAGUUGGUGAUCAUCCCUCACACUGGAGCAGGACCAAAAACAUUCAAGUGACAUGAACUAGAAUGUCGACAAAAAAUGGAGACUUUGUCCAAAGAAAAUAAGUGCAAAAAAUGGGGCAUGAAAAAGCAGUGUGCCUAGUAAAAGCGAGGCCAAUGCCCAAAGAGAAAAAAAAUGAAAAAAAAAAAAGAGAAAAAAAUCAAAAUCAAACUCUUGACAUAAUGAGUCGUAUCCCCAAUAAGGUGGUACUAAAACUCAAAUGAUGUUGCAAUCAAUGGAGAUUUGAUGAGAAAAAUUUUCGACAGUGGAGAAGGAAAGUGGCGGAAAUGUCAAGAUGAUCACCAACUUUGACCAUCUAAACACUUUUUGAGCCUAAUGAUCCUUUCAUUUCACAACCCAUGAACCAAGCCUACGUUAUGUCCCUUGUAAAGUCUCUUCAGAUUAGGGCACUUGAAUUAACGUAAGAGUUCAUAUGCUUGAAAGCAUCACUUGAAGAAGUGCGAGUAAGAUAAUUAUUGCCUCAUUUCAUAUGUUUCUUGACUUGAAAAUCCCAAGACAGUCAUGAAAUGUCAUUUUUCAAAUAGCCUCGACUCAAAGAGUCCCCUUUGUUAAGCCAUUGACCAAGCCGACAGUAUGGUCCCUGUUAAAGACCCCUCAGAUUGGUAAAAUCGUACCACUUGUGAGAUUACUCAUAACUUUGUUUGGCAUGACGAUGGUGAGAUAGAGUGAUUGAUAAAAUCCUGCAUCAAAGGUUAGGAUGAAAUGGCCAUUUUAAUGAGGAUGAGAGAAAAAGUCCCUUCAGACCAAAGGAUCCCUCAUUUGACACAUUCAUGACACUCAUGUGUUCAGAAUGGAAAUCAGGUGAUGCAAGAUUAAUGGAAAUCAUCAUGAACCUCCAUUAUAUUGGUGCAUGUUUAUGAUUACAAAUGCAUGUUGCCUCUCUUACGACCAUGUUUUGCAGGAGACAUAUCCCCAAAGAUCAUAGAUGUUACCAGGUAAGUAUAUCUCUAUCCAUACCUUGAAUAUUUGUAAUUGCACAGGUAUUUCCCUUUAAGCAUACUAACACUCAAUUGGGUUAUCCCCCAAAGAUUUUUCUCCAGAUUCAAUCCGAUUAAGGUGACCGAAGAAUGGUUCGGGUCCUAACCAAGCAAAACCUCAGUCCAAGUGACCGUAGAAUGGUACGGGUCCUAGACAACAUUUAUUGCUCUAACAAGCGACCGUAGAAUGGUACAGGUCUUGGAAAAGCAAUUUCCCCAUUCAGGCGACCGUAGAAUGGUACGGGUCCUGGAAAAUGAACCCCCGUUUAGGCGACCGUAGAAUGGUACGGAUCCUAGACAAAACCUUUCUGCCAUACUAGGCGACCGUAGAAUGGUACGGGUCCUGGGAAAGCAAUUCCUUACAAAACCUUUCUACUGUACAAGGCGACCGUAGAAUGGUACAAGUCCUGGGCAAGCAGUUCCUUACAAAAUCUUUCUGCCGUACUGGGCGACCGUAGAAUGGUAUGGGUCCUAAGAAAGCAGCUCCUUUCUACCAUACUAGGCGACUGUAGAAUGGUACGGGUCUUAGGAAAGCAGCAUCUUCACAAAGUCAUGUUACUAUUCUAGGCGACCGUAGAAUGGUACGGGUCCUGGACAGGUAACACCCACUAUCUCGAAUUACUCUAUCCUCCUUGAAGGUAAGUUAUUCCAGAUAGGUUCAUCUAUCAUUUGCAUUAGUAUUUCCAUGCAUCAUAUAAAUUGCAUUAAAAAUGGAAUUCACUUUCCAACAAAAAAUCAUUCAGUGCAUGUGCAUGAUCAAAAUUUAGGUCUCAAUUUAUCUUUGAAGUCAACCUCUGCGAGCUCACCUUCAAAGAGGGGCAGCUGUUGACACCUAAAAUCUUGCAUAAUUUUUGGGUUAAUUUUUACCAAACACACAUGGCAUUUAGUUUAGAAACAUUUUAUUUUGUUUUAUUUUAGGCCGCUAGUGAAGGGAAGAUUUUUCACAUAUUCCGUUCAGAUUUUUCACACAUUUAGGCAAUAUACACCAAAGGAUGUAUUUUCAAGCAAAAAGGAAAAUUUUGGAUGGGAUAUUUGAUAAAUACAAAAGGUAAGAUUGCGUGGGGUGCAACGAUAUAUUCAGUGGUAUUUUGCAUGAGCAAAAUUAGAAAGUAAAAUAUACCACGAAGAUCCAAUUUUUUAGCUUAUAAAAGGGACCGUGUACGAACAAAGUUUGAGGGGGGGUUAUUUUACAUCAGGCGAAAAAGUACACAAAAAGCAAACAGUGAAAAAGUGAGGUAAAGUGAGGUAAGAGAGAGAAAAACCGAAAAGAAAAAAAAAAAAAAACCCGCGACUGUUCAUCUUCCUCGUGGGGGGUAUCUACCCAUGCCGGCCCCGCUUGCCCGCGCCGGCUGCCGAGCCACCGGCGACCCAGAAUCGCGCCGCCGCCGAGCCAACCUUCCCCGUGUCGCCGCGUCGCUGUCCUGAAGAGCCUCCACGCCGCCCCCAACGCCCGCACCUCGACGCCGCUCGCCGCCUGCAGAUAUGAACAGCAACCGGCCUAGAUCCAACACCGUCCCUGUCUCCUCAUCCUUGCCCGCGACGCCGUCCGCCGAUCUUUCUGCGCCACCCCGUCGCCGCUUCCGCCUCGCCUCUGCCGAUGCCUAAGGUCCCCUGCCCGCGACGCCCGCUCCCAGAGCCGACGUCGUCCCGUGCUGAUCUCGAAGACCCUGGUGCCGCGACGCUGCCGCGUCGAUCCUCGAAGCCCCUGUUGCUGUGCCACCAUCGCGCCGCUCCUGGUGCCCUCGCCGGAACCCUAACCGGCGAUCUCCCCUGGCCGGACCGGCCACCAGCUUUAUUUUUCUUUUUCUUUUAAAAAAAUAAAAGAAAAUAAGAGAAAAGCAAAAGAAAAUUUAGGUAUUUUCUUUAGUGUAAUUAUUCCUUUGAUGUGAAAUUGAAAUUCCCUGAUAUGAAAUUGCCUUGAAAUUAGUGAUUGUCAGUCCAAUUUUCGUGCCUGAAAUCCGACUCGCAAUUACUUACAAAAAUUGACAAUCCGAUCUCCUGCCCGAGAUUCGAUUCGUGAUUUAUGUAAAACUGGCCAACCCAAUCUCAUGUGCGAGAUAUGGUUCGUCAAUUUGGGUAUCAAUAUUGCUUGAUUUGCCGCGGUGUUACCUAGGUUAGUUUUCUUAAAAAAAAUAAUAAAAAAAUGUAGUUUUAGGGUUUGCAUGCUCACAAUAGGAAUUUUAUUUCGAAUUUUCAAAAAUAAAAAAAAAAUCAAAUCAAUUAAUUUAGGUUGCUAGUUUUUUUUUUUAAACUUGGAUUGCAUGUUUAAUUAUUUGGCAAUUAUUAAUUUCGAAAUUUAAAAAAAAGGAAAAAAGGAAAAACACAAAAAAAAGUCAUUAUGCAUAUGUCAUGAAAACUUAGAGUAUCUUUUGCACGUCAUUGCACAUUAGGGUAAAAUUGCAUUUAGUUUAAUUUUAAAUAAUAUUUUUCUUAAUUUAUUAUAGGUCUAGGUAUUUUAUUAAAUAGAUUGCAUUUUAGGAUUAUUUAGGUUAAGAUAAUAUUUUAGUUUAAAUUAGGAUUUGGCUCAACCUAAUUCCUAAUAUAAAUUAAAUAGGAUCUUAAUCUAAUUAGGUAAUUUUCACAUUUCACCAAAUUUUGAAUUUCAUGAAAAAAUACAAAAAAAAAAAAUGUCAUGGGUUAAAUUAGUUUUAUUAUUUAGGAUAAAAUGCAUUCUUUUAGAAAAUACAAAAAAAAUGUCAUAUGCACGUCAUUAGGGUUAGAUUCAUUGAAAUGCAUGUCAUUUAGUAUUUUUGCUAGGCCCAUUUAAUUAGAAAUUGUAUGUCAUUAGAAUUAGGUCAUUUAGUUAACAUUGCAUUGCAUAUUGCAUGAUUUUCAUUAAUUAAGUGAAAACAAAAAAAGAAAUUGCGUGUUAAUUAGAAACCAUAUCUAGGAUUAUUGAUAUGGAUUUUAAUUUAACAUUGUAGAUGCUUUCGUUGCUUUGAGGUAAGUUUUUGCAAUUUAUUUAUUAUUUAUUUGGGUGUUAAAUUGGUGGAUUGUGCACUCGCAUGAUCGCCUCACAUGUUAGGAAAAUAGAUUUAAAAUCAAUCCAAAUUGCUUGCCAAACAAUUUUUUUUUAAAUAAAAAAGAAAGGUACCGAAAAGGGCAUUAGAGAAUUUUAACGUAACCAAGUCCCCGAACUCAUAAAUCUCUGGUUCGUAGGAGUAAAGUAAAUCUCCCAUUACUUUACUUGGGUUUCUAGUCGACCCACCAAAAAUAGAUUAGUGGCGACUCCUAAUUAAAAAAAUUGCAUGUUAAGAACUUAAAUCGAAAGUCGCGAAUUGGUAUGGGUUUGGGAGAGCCCGAGUUAAGUCUAGGCUUAACAAUCCAUUAGCCAAACCCUAGGUGGUUCACACUCGAAAAUUUGGUCACAACACCAUUACACAUAUAUUGGCAUAAUCUUCGUCAAUUUCUUCACAUUCAAUAUCACUCCAUGUCUCUACUUUGAGAGCCUUUCUAUAUUUCUUAGCUUUUCCCUUCUUUUUCUUCAAUGGAGGACAGUUGGGUCUAAUGUGUCCUUUUUUUCUUGCAUUCGAAACAGAUUACGUUUUUGUUGGCUUUAUCAUCCUUAGUUGAUUUGUUUUGAAACUUUUGAAUGCUUUGUUUCUUUCAAUUGAAUCUUCUUCCCUUUUUGUUCAGUUUCCUAAACCUCCUUAUCAUAAGUGCUAGUUCUUCAUCGUCCAUAUCAUCUUCAAAGUCUAUAACAUUAGAAUCAUCGUUAGAUUUUAAAGCAAUUGACUUCUUACCUUUGGGAUUUUCUUCCUCAUUAAUUUGCUCCACUUCAUAAGACUGAAGUGUGCCAACCAGUUCAUCUACUGAAAGCGGCAUGAUCCUUUGAGUUUCCCUUAUUGAAGUCUUCACGUGAUUCCAGUCUUUGGAGAGUCCAUGCAGUAAUUUGUUGACCUUCAUUGAUCCUAAGAUUGGCUGUCCCCGAUACUCUAGAUCAUUUAAAAUUUCUGUAAAACGACUAAACAUAUCAAUGAUAGAUUCUCCUGGCUUCAUCUUGAAUGCUUCAUACUGUCUGAGUAGAAUAUUGAUCCUUGUUUCUUUCACUCGAUCAGUGCCUUCAUAGGUAAUGUGCAGCCUAUCCCACACUUCUUUGGCUGUUUCACAAAAAGAAAUUUUGUUAUACUCAAUAGGAAAUAAAGCACAAUAUAAAAAGUAAAUUGCUUUAGCAUCAAGAGCUUGUCUCUUAGUUAUUUCUUCUUGUGUUAUCUCGCUAGUGUCUGCAACUUCUUUUCCUUUUUCUAAAACUGAUGCAGUUUUAGGAAUGAUUCCUUUUUUCUACCACAUCCCAUUCCAAAGGAUCUUUCGAUCUUAGGAAUGCCUUCAUCUUAUUUUUCCAUACGCUGUAUUCCUUUCCAUCAAAGUAAGGAGGUCUGGUGUUGCUUUAGCCUUCAACCAAACUUAGAGCCAACAUACUAGCCAUAGAUCUUUAACUCAGAAGUAAAAACACUUCAAUUAAAUGAGCACACGGGCUCUGAUACCAAUUGAUAGGGCUAGUAAGAACACCUAGAGGGGGUGAAUAGGUGUUAAAGAAAUUUUCGCAAGACUUAACAAAUUAACUUGAAGAAGUAAAUGACUAUAAGUAAUUAUGUAAUGCUAUGAAUUAAAGCAAGGAGUAUAGGGAAAGAGAAUUGAAACACAAGGUUUAUAGUGGUUCGGCUUAGACCAAGCCUACGUCCACUCUCCCGCACUGACAACCCACUGGCUGGAUUUCACUAUGAACCAAAAGAUAUUUUUACAGUCUCACGUCCUUGAUUCCAUAGUGUAGAAACUCUACUACACUUCCUCAAGGUCUCACAAGUAUUUAAUCCCUCUUUUGAGUAUAACUUAAGCUCAUGAAAUAGCAAAGAACUAGGAGUUUCAGACUUUGGAAUUUUUCUUUCACGCACACACUCGAACAACUUGAGCGUCUUCCUUAUAUACUCCUUCAUGCCUCUAUAACCGUUGGCACUUUCCAAAAAAGUUAUUCCAAUAUACCCGUUGGACGGAAUCAAUCAAGACGAUCUCAAGUCAUUUAAGGAAUGUGAUGAUAACCCACCAAUCAUGCUCGCCCAUACAAUCAAAAUCUAGAUUUCCAUAAGUAGAACCUUCAAAGUAUACUUCAUCUUUCAAAAGAUCUUGAUUAUCCGAAUUGAUUCCAAUAAGAAUAAUUGAUCACAAGGUGUUGUCUCCAGCCGUAAGAUCUUCUUCAAACUGUACGAACCGAAUCCUUAAAGAUAAACUCGCAUCUAGAUAAGUCUUCUCUUCAUUGGUCUAGAAACUGCCAGUGUGGGUUGACUUUGAGUCUUGAGUCUUGCAGUCUUUAGAAUUUGACGAUAGAGUUUGGAGUUCAUCAGAUUUUAACAAUUGAGUCUUUAAGUCUUCAGACUAAACUGAUGGAAACGUUUUGUCAACUUCAAAAUAAAAGAGUUUUCUCCAACAAAAGUUGCCUAUGCAAAGACCACUAAAUUCAAAGAAGCGAAGUUGAAUAUUCUGAUUGGUGGUUACAAGACAUCCAAGAUGAGCCACAUGAAAGUAUCAUAGGAAUGCUCAUGUGCUAUAACACCAUCAUGAAUGGACUUGUUGAACAACAAGAUUAUCGUGCAUCCAAAGCUCAAAAGUGACAAUUAAUAAAAUUGUGUUCCUUCUUGUGGAUUUGAGAAGCCUUAAAAAAGUCAUUCAAGUAGUGUAAUCAUUUCUCCUUACUCUUUCCACCUUUUCUUUUAAAUUUCUUUUCAACUUCUUGAUGAUUUAAGAGAUAAACACAAUGAACCUUUUGAUUCUUAAUCCAUGUUUCCACUUGAACAAGCAUUCUAGCCAAUUCAUUUGCAUUCCAAUGAUCCUUUAUAGUGUUAUAAUUCAUCUAAAAUGGGCCAUAUUUUCCAUGAGACAAUGAAUUAUAUAUGAACUAUACUAAAAAGUUGUCAUCCACGUUUAUUCCCAAAAUCCUUAAUUUUGCUUCUAAGUUCAUCAUCUCGAGUACAUAGUCAUGUAUGGUAUGUGAAUCAUCAUAUUUUACGGUGGUCAAAGUGCUCAUUAUUUUACUAACAAGUGACUUGUUGGUAGUUUGAGAACACUCUUCUACAAAUUUCAUAAAUUUCUUAGCAUUAUCAGUUUUGAGAAGAGUAGCCUUUAAGUUGUUUGCAACUGUCAUUCACAUAAACAUUAGACGUAGUCAUUCUUUAACUUGAAGUGCUAAAUCAAAAUCUAGGACACCUAUGUUAAACUGCACUUAUUGAGACCAAUCAAAGAAAUGUGUUCCAUACAAACCAAGAAUGCAAAUGAAGAGAAACAUAUACAUAAACUACAAAUAUGCAAGACAACAUUCAUAUAUUAGUGCUUUGAGAAUAUCAAAUAACAAGAUUCAAAAUAAAAAAUACAUGUACAUCAUAAUUCUCCUUUGGGUGAUCCUAUGAUAUGCAUUAAACCAUAAUGAUGGCAAAAAAAUUUAUUUGAUAAUUAUAAAUAGACCUCUUUAAAAUUUAUUUGCUAUCUUUGGAUAUACAUACAAAUUUAACAAGAGAUAUUAAUUACCAACUAUACCAUUCAUAAAUUAUAAGAAAUUGAUUAACCUUUGAGUGAAUCCUUAAGUUCUUAUAAUUAAUGAACUUCAAUAUACCCAUGACACCAAUAUAUAUAUAUAUAUAUAUAUAUAUAUAUAUAUAUAUAUAUAUGUAGCAUAUCAAUUUCAAUCAAAGCAUCAAUUGAUCAUGGGUAAUUGAACAAAACAUUAUACAAAUUUCAAAAAUUCAAGAGACCUUAAGGUUUAGACGCUUCGGUGACUAACAAACCAUUCAUAAUUUAAUUUUUUAAAUUGUAAUACAUAAUAAUUUAUUCAUAAUUUGAUUAUUUCUAGACGGUAAGAUAUAAUCAUUUUUGUGAUAAGAUUGUUAGAAAGGUAUGAGAAUCAAAUUAUACAUCAUGAUGCCUUCAGAAGAUAUGUCAAUUCGAUAUAAAUAUAUGAAUACGUAUAGCAAAACAAUUAAUGUGUUGGAAAACACGAAAAUAUAUAUACAUCAAGAGCACUAAACCCAAACAAUAAUUUUCAUGCCAUUUCAUUAAGCAAGUGCUUGAAUUAAUCAAUUCACUGUAUAUGUAUCUAUAACGAGCAUUACUAGGUGAGCAAUACCAAAACGAUAUAUAUUUUAAUAAUUAAAAAAAAUUAUGAAAGAUCCUAAACCAUGCUCUAAUACUAUCUGUUAGCAAUAAUGUAAUUGAUAAUGUGGAAAUUCAUAAUAAAAGAAUCUUGAAUCUUCAUGAUUUAUUCAGGAAAAAAGGGAUUUAUAAAUACCUUUAUCCAUAACAAUAACCUAGAAAAAGCAGUAAGACAAGUGUUGUAGAAAUAGAAGAAACGAUGAAAUCCAAUUUCUCUCCCUUAACCCACUUUUUCUUAAUAAAUUUUAUCUGAUGGAAGAUAGAAUACAACUUUUCAUUUUCUGUAUGGGUGGAGAGAGGACUAAACUCCUUUUAUAAGCUAUUAAUAGAUGUCUUCAAUAAGUGCCUUCCAUCAAAGCAUAUAAAAUGUUAUAUCUUCAUAAAAGUGGAAACUUCUUAUAUUCUAUCUUCAUGAAAGUUGUAACUUUUCAUAUGCUAUCUUCAAAAAAAUUGCAAUUUUUCAUAGCCAAUACAUUUUUACCAUUUGAAUCAUUAUUAAACCAUUAAUUAUAUCAUGAGGGUCAUAAUCAUUCUUACACCAGAAUCAUUAAGGUAGAGAUGGGCAAUAAAAAGUAUAAAGAUUUUCAGGCUCUAGCUUACUUACACAAAGCAAAGAAUGUGAAUUGUUGAACAUGCUCUUGGUAAGCACCAGUUCAUCUUCAAGUAUCAUGACAUAAAAGAAGCAUUUUAGAGCUAAAGGAAUUGCGAACGUAACUUUCUCUUCAAGAAUCCGGCCAAAAAUUUUUUAUCCUUUAUGUAUCAGAGUUAUAAUGAUAUGUCCGUAUAACCUUGUCUACACAAAUAUCAGAGAGUAUCAGAGUAUUAUGCAUUUUUACCUUGUAGACGACCUUCUGCCUACAUCAUAAUAUCUGAGUUAUUAUUUCGGAGCCAAAGAUAUGUAUCGGAGUUAUAAAAGCUUUAUCUACGUGACUUCUUUCUUGGUUUUUAGGACUUGUAGAGCUAGAUACAGCUCUACUCGAUUAGGAACAUGUAUUGUGUUCUUUUCGUAUAAGUGGAAAUGAUAUGAUACUUCUCAUAUAUCUUUUUGGUUAUAAAACAAAGGGAACACAAUUUUGAAUUGCAAAAUCAUUCGCAUGAGUGAAAAGAUAAAUAAGAAAAUGGUUAAUUUUAUGAUCGCUUGAGUGAAAGGAAGAAAAAGUUAAUUUCAUAUGUAAGGGCGAGAAGCUAUGAGUCCUAUUGAGUAGGCCCGUCAAACGGGUGGAUGGGAUCAAGUUUGGGUCAAGUCAAAAAAUGGUCUGACCAUAAUUGACCUAUUUAUAUUCAAUGCAAAUCAGUGAUCCAUAUUUGAGCUAACCCAUACCGAACCCAUUCCCAAAUUGACUUGGGAUCCGUAUUGAGUAAUUUUCCUCCUUAAAUUGUCACCUUAAAAGAAUCGGCAGUUUUUUGCCCAAAAAAUACAAAAGAAUGGGCUGGUCGAUGGAUCAACUCCAUAUUUAAUUUGGGUUGAAAGUAUGCUACUAACUGAUCCACUAACACCCAUCUUAUCAAGUCACACUACCAAUGGUUCUCCUCUACUAACCACCAUCGGCUAUGGUCCAAAGGUCCCUAAUGAUCUUGAGAAAAUUGAUUUUGACGGGACUUAAAUUCAUGACCACACUUCUUGAGGCUCCAAAUCAAACUGCCUCUCAAGAAGCUGUAUGGUCAUCAGCUUGAGUUCUGGUAAAGACUAUUUUCUUGAGGCCACCCUCAGAAGCCUUUGCCUUUUGUACUUACUCCAUUAUGGUAGGACAGACACACUGCCAUGACCCGGGCUAUUUAAGAAGCCCAAGUUCCGAACUUCAACAAAAGAUAAUUGCAGACAUUAAUUCCAGCUUGCGUGUUUGUACGUAUACAAACAAUUUUGAACUCGAUUACAGUUAAAUUUUGAAAGGGGUACUUUUUUCUGUUCAUUAACCAUCCCCUAUGUUUAUCCUAUAUGUGUAAUUGAGAGAGAGAGAGAGAGAGAGAGUGACAUUACUUUUCUUCCAAAGUGAUCACUUAAUCUCCAUCAAAGAUGGUAGGCCCAAAUUAUCUUUCGAAUCUUAUCCUUUUUAGCAUGUUUAGUAUAUGCGUUGAACAUGCAUCAUAUAUCAUUCAUGUUUAUCAAUGGAUUUUUUUAUCUUUCCUUCAUUAUAUGAUUAUGUAAGUUGACUUUGCUUUAACCACUAUGGUAAUGGCAAGCGAUUAAUUUUCAACAAAGUCUUGAAAGACAUGUGGAAAAGUUCAGAUAUUUAGGAAUGAUUGCAUAGGACACGAUUUGGUUUUACCACAUUGGGCAUUUCAUUGUUGUAAUAAAGACGUGCCUCCUAAGACUAAAAAUAGAAAGACGAGGGUUAUAUCUCAUAGAUGUUGACAAGUAUUAUAAAUAUUAACUCCUAAAAAUGAUCAACUUUUGGUUAUAAUUGACAAGUGUCAAAUUUAGUCGAUAAUAGCAAAAUUUGGUAGAUAACAGAAGUCGUCACUGAAAAGAGCAAUCAACAACUUGAAAAGCAUUGACAACUCGCCAAGGAAGAUAUAGACAACAAUCAUCAGUUAUCAAAUAGAACCUUCAUUGGGGAUGAAAUCAUCGACAUCGAUAUGUAACUAUUGAGUGGUGAUAUGUUUGGAUAUAUAACUACUUUAAGAUAAGUGCUAUUAAAUCAUAAGUAACUAUUGGGUGGUUAUGUUUGGCGCCGCUAUUUUAGGAUUUUUGUAAGUUCUUGUAGAUAAGUGUUGUUGUAAAUUCUUGCAACCACAAAUAAGAUUAGGAAGUUAUUUGUUUUGAAAAUAGGAUAAGGAAGUUAUCUAGUUAAAUUCAAUGAUCAUUUGUAAUCGUAAGUAUAGGCUUUAAAAAGCCACAUAGACCCCAAUCAAUCACAGAACUCAAUGUUCUUUACAAAUUUAUCUUUAUCUUUAAUUUCCUGAAUUUAAUGGCUGGCCAUAUACCUUCAAAAUUCUAGUCAUUGAUCUCUUGUCCGAAAUCAACCCAAAAAAAAAAAAAAACGCUUCAUAAUCUUUAUCGAUUCACUUAUCAAUCCAUCCACAUUUAGAAAGGUUAUCAGUAACUUUUCGACAAAACGUCUUUUUGGCACCCCUAAUGGGGUACAAUUUAUUGAUUUGAGGAGACUAUCAUGACAAGAGUCAGAAAUGAACAAUAGUCUAAUAAUGUUGUUGACAACAACAAUCCGGUGCCACAAACUAGUGAAAAAGUUGCUACGCACUUUAACUCUUCAACGGUUAACCGAGCGGCAAAAGAAGGAGAACGCGAGGGGGAAGACCUUCCCCAACGUCAAACUGAAGAGCAGUCAAGAGAAGGUGCACCGUGCACCUAAUUCUCAUGUGUUGGCCGCUAUGAAGAGGAUAAUCGAAGAGCGGUGAAACAAUAUGACCAACUACAUUGUGAGCCAUAGGUCAAACGUAAUCAAGCCGAUCUUCAUCGAUGUUGAGAAUGAUGUUCUCCCGAGUCUAGGAUCAUUCAAUGAACCACCACUAUUCAAUCUACGGUAGCUGGGUGUGUUCUUAAUCGCUCUCCAUCUAUUGAUGCUAAUAGCGUUAGUCAAAACAAUCGAAUUGGUGACAUUAAUUUGGAAAAUCAAACUAGUUGAUAGGCUGGUCAAUUGCCAAAUGUUGAAAAUGUAAGGCCAAUGACUCUACUAGUAACACCAAUGAGAAUAUUCUUGUUAGGCUUAACUUGUCGAUCAACAUAAACCAGUAUCAUUGCCCAGGGGGUAAAAGGGCCAACCAAAUCCAAAAUUGAAUCUAGUACAGUUCGUUGAAGAAGUUCAAUAGUGAUUGGGAUUAUAUAGUAGUGUUAUCUUAACUCUUUAUAGAAAACCACAUCCCGAAUUGACUAAUAAUCAGCCUUUCCAAAAGCUUUCAAAAUGUCCAACUUUGCCAUUUUUACUAGCGAAAAAUGAACAUUGACCAUCAAACACAUGGUUGAUUUAUAGCCCAAUGUGUGGGGAAGAAGGGACAAAUGAGUUUUUAAAUUAUAAGUUAUUUCCUUUGUCUUUGUAGAAAAAUGUUUUUACCUAGUACACUAAUUUGCCACAUAAUUAGUGUACAAUUAGGUAGAGAUGGAAAGAUAAUUUCAUUCGUUCUCAAUUUUAUAGAGCGAUAUCUAAAGUAUUAAUUACUUAUUUGGCCAGGCUCUAUCAAUACAAUAAUGAGUUGGUUAAUCAAUUUAUUAAUCAAUUUAAGAAGGAUAGGAAUAAAGGCCUUACUUCAUUCUCAUAAAACAUUUCAUGAAUUCAGUUUUCGAUGGAUUGAAAUUCAAUCUAAGAGAAAAAUUUGAAGGCUAAAAGUUCACUGAUUUAUUUCAAUUGGCAACAGAGUAUCUAAGUAUGAGCAACUUCUUAACGAAGGAUAUAAAGAGCCACCUAAAAACUUUACACAAAAUGUGGCUGUAAUGUAAAUCAUGAGUCGGAGUAUGAAUCUAACCCAAAUGAAAACAUUGAAAUAAUUGUGGCAAAUAUGAUGCCCGAGAAGCUUUACACUUGUCGAUCCUUAAAGCUUGCCAAAAUUAAAGAAAAAAGAACAAUUAAGGCUAAAGACACUCAAAUUUACUCGUUCAACAAUAAGUUGGAUGAAAUCUUUGAUCUACUCUUAAACGAUGGCUUGAUAAAACUAAUGGAAUGCUAAUCAUCCUGAGAUAAAAAAAAUAGGGAUAAGUUCACUAGAAAUCUUAAAACUUAUCACAAAAAUGCAAUUGAGUCAUAAAAUUUACAAAAAUAAUACAAUCAAGUCCUAAAAAUUUCUCAAAUAGAUACAAUCAAUUCUUAAAGGUAACACUGUCAAUUUAUUUAACAGAAAAUGUUAAUGUGGCAUUUUUUCAUUAUUUUAUUUUUAAAAAAUUAUUUAAAUCAGAUUAAAAAACUACAAAAAAGCCAACAUUGUAUGUUAAAAACAAAACUAACCAAAAAAAGAAAACAUAAAGAGAAGGGCAGGGCAAACCACAUUGAUAGUGCCGCCACCGCUACCACCCAUCGUUGGAGGGGCCAAUGGAGGUCGCUGGCCCUAAGCGAGGGUGGUCAGCCCCCGCCAGCUCCAAGCAAAGCCUUACCAGCCCUAAGCAAGGGUAGGAGACCCUCAUUGGCCCAUGUGAGGGUACCCAGAUUUGGGUACCCACUUAGAUCUAGGCAAUGCUAGCAAUUGCCUAGAGCUGGCGACCUUGUAAGCCUUGGGCAAGGCCUCACCAGCCCUGAUCUAGGCGCUCUAGCAUAAGAUUGAGCCUAGUGAGGGUCAUUGGCCCUCGCUUGGGGCCGACGAGGCCUUGCCCGGGACUAACAAGGGCCAGCCACCCUCGCCCAAGAUCGGUAAAGGUUGCCGACCCCUCUACUAAUGGGUGGCACCGAUGACGACGCCUACAAGUGUGGCCUGCCUUGCCCUACUCUUCUCUGUUUUUUUUUUCAAUAAAAUCUUAGCUCUUUUUAGUUUUUUAAUAUGAUUUAAAUAAGAUACUAAGAAGAAAACAAUAGAAAAUGCCAACUAGGAGAGAGAAAUUAACUUAAAAUUGCCAUGUCAGCAUUUUACAUUAAAUAAAUUGACAGUGCUAACUUUAGAACUUGAUUGCACCUAUUUCAUAAGUUUUAGAACUUGAUUGUACUUUUUACAAAUUUUAAAACUCAAUUACACUUUCAUUAUAAGUUUUAGGACUCCUAGUGAACUUAUCCCUCAAAAAAAUGACAAGUAACACCACUCAUGAAGCCAUAACAUGGUUACUUGUGAUGUUUUCAAGAAAACAAUUCAAGAGCCAAUGCAGCAAUCGAAUUUGCUUAUGACAAAGAGGCAUACAAUGACCAUUCAUUAUGUAAUUUAAAAUAAUCAAAGAUGUAUUUGUUGAGACCAAAAAUGUUACCAACUUUGGCUGUAAUCGAUAAGUGACAAACUUAGUUGAUAAUAAUAAAGUUUGGUGAGCAAUGGAAUCGAUGAAAAAAAACAAUCGAUAACUUGAAGAGCAUCAAUAACUCACUAAGGAAGCUGUUUUAUCAAUCAUUGAUGAAAAUCUUUACUGGAGAUGAAGUCAUCGACAUCCACAUUUAACUAUUGAGUAGUGAUAUUUUCGAAUAAGUAACUUCUUUUAGAUAAACAUUACUAGAAAAUAGGUAACUAUUGAGUGAUUAUGUUUAGUGCCACUAUUUUAGCAUUUUUUUUAACUUCUUUCGAAUAAGCAUUAUUGUAACUUCUUAUAACUGUAGAUAGGAUUAGGAAAUUAUUUGUUUUGAAGAUAGGAUUAGGAAGUUAUUUGUUCAAAUUCAAUAAAGUUUGUAACCGUCAAUUGUAGCAUUUAAAUAGUCACAUUCUACUCUUUGUAAAGAAACCCCCAUCAUCAACACAAACAAUAUAUCUUUCAGUUAAUCAAUUUAACAUUCCAGUUACUGCAUUUACUUUCCUUUAGAGUAAUUAGUUCUAGUUCUUGUUCUUUGUUACACUUGACACUUCAUGUCCGAAUUGUGACGGAACUUGAUUCACAUAUAAAUAGAUGUAACCUUUGAUAAAGGUAUUUUGUUGCGUGUAGCCAUUCUUGGCGAAACAAGAAAAUGAGUCAUUGUAGAAAUAUCUCAGUCCAUGAUUAUAAUGGUUAGUGUUCUAAUAUAGUGAUUCUUUUAACACAUCAACAUUUUUCGCACACAUUUUUCUACUUGUUUUUUGACGUCGUGUAGUGACCGUUCCAAUUGAAACUAGAGGCCAAAUGAAGUAACUUGAGAGAAAAUUGGCGAGAAGUCCUAAAUCUUAUACAAAAAAUGCAGUCAAAUCCUAUAUCUUUCAAUUAGUUCAAUUAAAUCCUAAACCUUCUUUAAAAAGUGCAUCAAGUCCUUUCAAGUCCUUUUGAUAAGCAAUACUUAAAAUUGUCUUUGUGUCAAUCAAAAAAUGCUUAUGUGGAAUUUUUAAAUGGUGUUUUUAAACAUAAUUUUAGGACUUAAUUGAACAUUUUAAUAAAUUUUGAGAACUUUAUUGAAUUAAUUGGAAAGUCUAAGAUUCAAUUGCACUUUUUGUUAAAAUUUUAAGAUUUGAUUGAAUCAAUUGAAUGUCUUAGACUUAAUUACAUUCCAUGUAAAAAGUUUAGGACAUCGUGCAAUUUUUCCAAGUAACUCAAUCCUAUAUUUAUAAAGCGCAUUUUUUCUCAAUUUUAAACAUAUGUCUAAUGUGAAUCUAGAGUCUCGUAGUCAUCAAGACAAAAAAUAAAAUUAGCACCCAAAAAAAAACAAAAAACAAAAAACAAAAAUUCAUUUGUUGGAAGAUAUGCAUCAAUCUGGAAGAUACGUUCGGAUUCUUGACCAAUUUGGUCCAUACAUAUAUUAGCUAGGAAUCUUAGAUUGAGAAUAGAUUCUGAUUUCUAAAUAUUUCUUUGCCUUUAUUAAUUCAUCUCUGUACUAUAAUUACAGAAGCAUUGUACAUCAGAAUAUACAAUUGAAUACACAAAUUCACAAAUCUCUGUAGUCUUCUUCAUCUUCUUUCAUGGUAUCAGAGCCUCCAGGCUGCUGAUUCAACUUCGCUUCCGCUCUUGAUCACCUAAUCCAGGGGAACUCUAAUAUCCAAACAAACAGAUUUGCUUUCUGGAAAAUAGGGAUUAUUUUACUAAAGAAGAAGAAUUUUUUUUUUCUUACCAACCAUGACCAGCUCUCCUUCACAGGCUAGUUUCUCUACUGACAAUCAAACAGCAGCAGAAAUCUCAUCACAGCUUGCUGCGACAACCCAACCUCUUCAACCUCAGCCCGUGCAAUGGCGGCCAACUUAGGCUCAAAUUAAUUUGAGGCAACCCAUUGCGGGUCAACCAAUCCAGUGGGUACCUUACCCGUGGUAUAUUAGGUCGAGCCCUAUUCCAUCAUUGCCUGGUAACAUGGACCACCAAAGCCACGUUUAACCCAAAGGGAGCCCAUCAUCCAUGACUGGGGCAAGCCCAACCAACAGGUUGGAGCGGACGAGCGGGUCGAACGGGUCAGGAGACCCAGGCAAUGGAAUGAAUCCCUACCCGGGAAAUUAUAAUGCAGGUUACCAAUUCGAGUCAGGCGAACCAGGUUUAGGGACAAAUCCCUACCCGAAUUUCGCGCCUGUUUUUUUGUUGUUUCCCAUCGGAGCCAUCACCGGACGACCGGAGCCCAGAGACCCCAUGUAUGUCUCAACAACUGAUGGCCCAGAAUUGCGGCUAAUCAACCUGCAAUUAACCAGGCCAAAGAACUAUUCCAGGUGGUCCCGAGAUCUCAGAUGAGUGCUGGUGACAAAAGACAAGGAUGGGUUUCUAGAUGGAACCGUCCCGAUUCCAACCGACUACUGACUGGCGCGACACUGGAGAAAAUGCAACCAACUCGUUUGCUCAUGGAUCGGGAAUUACAUCUCUCCAGACAUCGCGGUCGGUCUGCCACCGACGGAGGAUUCCAAAAAUCUGUGGGAGAAUAUCAAGCAAAUGUACGGCAAACUAGAUCAAGCAAUAAUUUUCUCUUUAAUGCAGGAACUUAGCAAAUUAAAGCAAGGAAACAUGACGAUUUUCGCAUGCUACAACAAAUUAUCGUCUCUAUGGAAUGACCUCGAAGCUGCAGAAGAGAAGCUUGAGGGACCAGAGGAGACACUCGCACAGUACCGAUCGAUGAAAGAACAAGAAAAGGCGACCCAAUUUUUGCUUAUCUUGAAUGACUCUUACCUGACAUUCCGAUCACAGAUAUUGGCUAUGGAACCCGUGCCGCCUCUCGGGCGGAUCUUUCAAUUGGCCGUCCAGGAAGAAAGCCAGAGGCUCGCUUCAUCAGAACCGGCAAAAGGAGGAGAGAGCUUCGCUCUGGCUAGUCGCGGCGAGCAGCGAAAUUGGGCACCCAAAACCCUAGCACACGAAAAAGGGGGAGAGCUAGGGUUACGGGCAUCCAGAUCUGAGGAUCCUCGUCUCCUUAAAAAGGGAGGAACGAGCGGCUCAGAUUUGCCACGCAGAUCGGACUGCUCGAAAGGGCCUAUCUAUUCAUCCAGAUCCAACAGACGAGAUGAGGGGACUUGGAAGACAUCCGACGGUGGUGGCGGUUCCCUCGCAUCCGACGGUGGGAGUUAUUUCUCGGGAUUUGACAGUGGAGGAAUUUUCUCGGCAUCAGCCAAAAAUUUUAACCCAAAAAAGGGGUAAAUUAUAUUGUGAUUUUUGCAUAAGGCCACACCACACAGUGGAAAACUGCUGGAAAUUGCACGGUAAACCCGAAGAAAAAGGAAAAAAAAAUUCUGCAGCUUAUCAGGUUGGUAUUUCUAAUGCUGAUUGGUCCAUCACAAAUGAUCAAUACCAGCAAUUGACGCAGGCAAUACAGAAAUUAGACACCUUAAACAAAGGAGGAAAUUUCUCAGGUAUUUCUCGUUUCCUGAUUAAUAUUAUUUCCAGAAAAUCCUGGAUAAUUAAUUCUGGGGCAAGUGAUCAUAUUGUUUGUGAGAGGGCAUUAUUUUCAGAUAUUCAUGAGGAUUUAGAAUUCCCUAUUUCUAUUCAAUUACCAAAUGGAAAUACUACUCAUGUCAAAAUCACUGGAACAGUCAAACUCAGCCCACAAAUCACACUUCAAAAUGUUCUUUUCCUUCCAGAAUUUCAAUUCAAUCUUAUUUCUGUGUCCAAAGUCUGCAAAGAAAAUUCUUGUCAUGUAUUGUUUGGUUCUGACACUUGCUUCUUUGAGGCCCUUUCGACUGGCAAAGUGAUGGGCUUGGGUAGUCUUUCUGAAGGGUUAUUUCUGUGGAAGAAUUCUCCAAGUAAUCUUAAUUUGUCUUCGUUUCCUUCAAAUAAAAUGUCAUUGUGUAACACGACUACCAAUGAUAAAGACUAUAUUUUACAUUCACGAUUGGGUCAUAGUGCUUCCAUUCCUUACUCUAAGUGUUAGAUAUGUCCCCUUGCAAAGCAAUCACGUAUUCCUUUUUCUCUUAGCAACAAUCGUGCCAUGCACAUUUUCUCUUUAAUUCACAUGGAUGUAUGGGGUCCUUAUCAUACCCAACAUCAUGAUGGGUCCCGAUAUUUCUUGACAAUUGUGGACGAUUAUUCUCGUGCCUCCUGGGUUUUUCUGAUGCAGUCCAAAGGACAAGUUUUCUCACACUUGAAAACUUUCAUUGCUCUAUCCAAGAAUCAAUUUGGGAGAUCUAUUCAACGAGUUAGGACAGACAAUGGAAGGGAGUUUUUCAACAAUGAUUGCAGUUUACUCUUAUCAUCUCAUGGAAUUCUUCAUGAGAGUACUUGCAUUUAUACUCCACAACAGAAUGGAGUAGUGGAGCGUAAGCAUCGUCACCUAUUAGAAGUUGCACGUGCAUUAAAGUUUCAAGCGUCUAUUCCAGAAAAUUAUUGGGGCGAAUGCAUAAUUACUGCAGCCUAUCUCAUCAACCGUAUGUCAACUCAGGUACUCAAUGGAAAAACUCCAUUUGAAUUACUCUUCAAGAAGAAACCGAAAUUGGGACAUUUAAGGAUAUUUGGUUGCUAGUGCUUUGCUACUGUCUUGGGUACUCGAGACAAAAUGAGCCCUCGAGCACGAUGCUACAUAUUCAUGGGUUAUCCGAAUUUACAAAAGGGAUAUCGUGUCCUGGAUCAGUCAACACUGGAAUUCUUCAUCAGUAAAGAUGUAAUUUUUCAUGAAGAUGUUUUUCCUUUCAAGGAAGGGGAUUCUUCAAGGGAGGCGUCAAACACUUCUGGUAAGUCAUUUUCUAUGGAAGAACUUCCACAUACUGAAUACCUUGUGACAGGAACUCAAGCACCAAUUACUCUAAUGGUUCUUGAGAUUUCUGCACCAGAAAUCACUGAAAAAUCCCAUGAUGAAGUUCAAGGAAAUUUCUCCAUGAUCGAAGAAUCCUCCAAUGAAGUUGGCAAUACGGAGAUAUCCUCAACUCCGAUUCAAGUGAAUCCUCCUCGACGAUCUAGUCGGUCUACACGACCGCCAGCCUGGACACAAGACUAUGUUUGUGCAUCCCUUGACUCACCAGGUAUUCACUACCCAAUAUCAUCUUAUGUUUUGUUCCAUAGACUUUCACCAGAACAUAGAUGAUGUGUGAGUCGAAUAUCAGAGGAUAUCGAGCCAUCCACUUAUGAAGAAGCAGCUAAAGACACAAGAUGGCAAGAAGCCAUGGGGGCUGAAUUGCAGGCACUAACUGCAAAUGGGACCUGGGAUUUGGUCACUCUACCACCAAAUAGGAAACCCAUCGGAUGCAAAUGGGUUUACAAGAUUAACUACCGAGCUUAUGGAUCCAUUGAACGUUACAAAGCUCGAUUGGUGGUAAAGGAUUUACCCAACGGGAAGGUUUUGACUAUCAUGAGACAUUUUCCCCGGUCGCCAAAGACGUAACUGUAAGAUCAUUCUUAUCUGUUGCUGCUAUUAAUGAUUGGCCAUUACAUCAAAUGGAUGUGCAUAACGCCUUUCUGCAUGGAGAUCUAAAAGAGGAAAUCUACAUGGAUAUUCCUCAAGGAUUACGGAGACAGGGGGAGAAUAGAGUAUGUCGUCUUCGUAAAUCUCUUUAUGGUCUCAAGCAAGCUUCCAAGCAAUGGUAUGCCAAAUUUGCCGAUGCUCUCACUUCUACAGGUUUCAAGCAGUCCAGAUAUGAUUACGCCUUAUUCACAUGGAAUCAAGGUACGUCAUUUAUUUAUCUAAUGAUAUAUGUUGACAAUAUCCUUAUUAUGGGAAAUGAUAGAACUGCAAUAGAGAGAUUCAAAAAGUUUAUGCACCUUACUUUUCACAUUAAAGAUUUGGGAGCACCCAAAUACUUUCUUGGGAUAGAAAUUGCUAGAUCUGAUCGUGGGAUUUCUCUUAGUCAACAGAAAUUUAUGCUAGAGAUUAUAUCAGAGGCAGGUUUGUCGGGAUGCAAAUCAUCAGUUAUUCCAAUUGAGCAAAAUGUGAAAUUGACCACCAAGGAUUAUGAUGCUGGGACAUUUGAGAAUCAUGAUCCCAUCCUUAAUGAUCCUUCAGGUUAUCAGAAACUCAUUGGGAAACUUAUAUACUUGACUAUGACCAAACCCGACAUAUCAUAUGCAGUGUAGACUCUCAGCCAGUUCAUGCAUAGUCCUAAGUUGUCUCACUUAAAUGCUACUUUGAAGGUCGUGAAAUAUUUGAAGAAGUGUCCAGGACUAGGGAUUCUUUUAUCCAGAGAUUGCAACAUGGAAAUGUUGGCAUAUUGUGAUGCAGAUUAUGCGACCUGUCCUAUGAGUCGACGAUCCAUUACAGGUUUUUGUAUUAAACUUGGAAAUUCUCUUCUUUCAUGGAAAACCAAGAAGCAGGCUACUGUAUCAUUAUCUUCAGCCGAAGCAGAGUAUCGAGCUAUGGCAAAGACUACCUGUGAGAUCAUAUGGAUACGGGGACUACUUGGGGAUCUUGGGAUAAAAUUGAAGGGUCCGACUAAGUUGUUCUGUGACAACGAUGCCGCACUCAAACUUGCAACGAAUCCUAUAGUACAUGAAAGAACGAAGCAUAUAGAAGUGGAUUGUCAUUUCACUCGAGACAAGAUUCAAGAAGGAGUAAUCGAGACUAGAUGAAUUGGAACGGAAGAGCAACCAGCUGAUAUUUUCAUCAAGCCUCUAUGUCAAAGACAACAUGCAUAUCUACUAAGCAAGCUGGGUGUCUUGGAUAUUUACCAGCCACCAACUUGAGAGGGAGUGUUGGAAGAUAUGCAUCAAUCUGGAAGAUACGUUCGGAUUCUUGACCAAUUUGGUCCGUACAUAUAUUAGCUAGGAAUCUUAGAUUGAGAGUAGAUUUUGAUUUCUAAAUAUUUCUUUGCCUUUAUUAAUUCAUCUCUAUAUUAUAAUUACAGAAGCAUUGUACAUCAGAAUAUACAAUUGAAUACACAAAUUCACAAAUCUCUAUAGUCUUCUUCAUCUUCUUUCAUCAUUACUCACGCAUGUUUGAUAGUUCCCCCAUAUCGAACUGACUCGCCUGUACUAUCCACGUUCUUAGUAUCAGAUUUAGCCCGCGGCAGGAAAGCAAAAUCGUCAAUGUUUGCUGAGAAAAGAAGCAUGCGAACGUUGAUGUUGUACCAUCAGAAAUAAACAACUCGACCACGAGAUUACAAGAUUCGACUAGACUUGUAAAACCCAUCAUGUCUGUUGAGAGGCACAUCGAAAAUUUAAAGAUGUGACUGAAGGUGCUUGUCCCAAUUGCUUACCUGCAUUCAGAAAGUGAUAAAAAUUGCCCCUUUUGGACGCUGAGAAAGAUGGUCACGAGUUUCCAAUUAAGGAAUGUUUGUGGAUCGCUUAUCAAUUAAAUUAUUGCCUGAUCAAUCGGUUCCUUGCCAAAAAAGUCGGGGGUCUCAUCAUGACUAUUGGUGGCAAGUCAUGCACAAAAGUAGAGAGGAGAGGUGGACUAUCAACCACUUUCUUUUUCCAAAAACGGGUUAUGUGAUUUUGGGUUUUAUCACGACGUUUUGGAGGGUCAAUCCUUUUUUCAGCGUUUUGUAGGUGGGGUGAUAUGUGUUUUCAUUGCUUUGAUGGACUUUUGGAAUGCAUUUUCCCUGAAAUGGAUAUGAGUCGGUGUUGAAUGUAAUGUCGUUGCCUUUCAUUGAAGAUCUCUCUCUCUCUCUCUCUCUCUCUCUCUCUCGCAAAUAAGUCUUUUAGCUGUCAGAUUUGACAUUAGAAAGUUAUUUCUAUUUGGCAAAUAUUUGCGCCAACCGAUACUUACGAUCAUUAGGCAAAGAGGAGUAUUAAUAAUAAUUGUUACAUCGAUGAACCAAACAAUGGAUAAACAAAAUUUCCUGAAGUUGGAAUCCUAGUAUUUGGAUGCCAAAUCCAUUUCAAUUUUCUUUCCUACUCUAACAACCAAAUAUGACCUUAGAACAGUCUAUUUCCAAAACGAAAGGCCUGCUAGCCAUUAAUUGAAUGCCCUAGGUAACAAAACACUCUAAGUUGGCAUGUUUGAUGCAAUAUUUCUUGUUGUAUUGAAAGAGCCAAAAAGGGGUCGAGUAGUUGGAAGCUAUCAUCCUACGAGUUCUUGCUGGAGAAAUGGACCUUAUAUCAAACAAGUCAAAAUCCUAUAUUGAGAAGAUCUUUCAUAUUUUGUGUCGAAACAUUCACCUUUUUAACAUCCUUUCACAUUUUCUACGCUCACUCGGCUGGCAUUCCCAAAUUUUAGAUUCAAUUUGGUUAAUUCUUGAAACAAUAACUUUGACAGUAAUAUGUAGGAUUUAUAAUCAAUGAUUCAUUUGAAAUUGAGAAUAACCACCAAAAACUGAAAUUUGUUACCAAAAAACAUCUGUUUGGAUGUUUAAAUAAUUUGUAUUACUUUGGGUAUAAACAUUUCGCAUUGCGUGUUACAUUGUAUUUCAAUGUAAUGGUCCUCAUCUUAUGUCAAUGAAAUUACCAAAUUUUGCACUUUGAUCGCGAAAGGGAGAGCCAUGAAUGUGUGUGUAUGCAUAUACAUAGAUUAUGCUUGGAUUAUGCUUGCUGAUGGGCCACAUAUUCACCGACCAAAGAAUUUUCUCAAUUUACAGAGCCCAGCUCCUUAACCCUCUCAUAGGUAAUAGUGUUCUCAAUCCUGCAAAUUUGAUAUUGGAUUUACCAUGGCAUUAACAAUAAAAGCAGACUUUUCCAUGUUCUCGAUGAACAAUAACAGGUUCUCGCUAAAGAGGACGAAUAAAACAGUUUAUAAUCUGUACGCAAACAAAUCACAAAGCCCGUUUCGCUCUGAUCUGUAGCUUAUAUAAAACUAGUAAAUUGAACAAGAGGUUAUUUUUUGUGUCAGUACAUGAGUCCUAGUAGAGUAUAACUGGUAAAACUGCAUAUAUAAGCAUAAACAUGCAGCUCGAGUAGUUCAUUAGCAGCAGAAUUGCGAUGCCUCCGAAAUAGGCCAUUGAAACUGGAGAAGAUGAGGAGGGCUGAUGAAUGCGGAGAGACAAGAAAUACGGGUUAGUCCUUCGUCACCACAGCUUCUUCAGCUGCAAGUUGCCAUUUAGGACCAGAAGUUCUAAGCGGCAGAACCUGCAAAAAGAAAACUGAUAGUAAUUCACCAAAAAGACGGGGAAUGCUUGCUCGAGUCUGGUCUUUCCUUUGUUUUGAAGGAUGGGGGUUUCACAAACAUUACACAUAACUUCUAUCAGACAACUCCGAAUCUUCUAUCUGUUCUCUAAGCUUUCAUGCACCACACUCCCAAUAGAUUUUUAGAACAUCCAUUGAAGGACAUUCUACCAUUAGAGAAACUGUUUGUCGCAUUGUAACAAUAUCCAUCUUGGCUAUAUAAACAGACACAAAAAUCAUACUUGUCAGCAACAGCACACCUCAUGCUCUGGCCCUAAGUAUGCCAAUUUUUCUAUAAUGGUGGAGCUACAUAAGAGAAUAAGAACUCGACUAGAAGUAAUGCAUGCAUUCCUCACUUGGUUGGCGACCCGUGGGAGCAGUCUUUGACCCCCAAGAGAACAUGUCCUUGGUGAAGCCCUCAUGGUGGGACCAAUACAAUUUUAAGGGGGCUUCCCCAACUCCAUAUAUUCAAUUCAAUAAUUAGCAUGGUCAAGGAAACUAGCGUCCUGAGUGACAAAACCAAAGGUGAAAGAAAAGAAACAAGUCCAAAAAAUGCUUCGACAUGAAUCUUACCUGCCUGAGGUGAAGGUUUGAUUAUUCAUUUGCACGGGGAUUGAAGCAAACAUUUGGUGCAUACUUCCAUCAUCACAAUCACUUUGCAACACCUACAAUAUAUGCAUUCCACGAAUCUUGUUGUUCAAAGCUCAUAACCUCUUCAUACUUCAAGUCCUUUCCGAUGCCAAAUCCCUCUACACUCUUAAUAUUUUCAGAGUCAGGCAUCUGCCUAAUCCAAAAAUGGACAGACUGAAAGCCAGCCUCUUCCAAACAGUCUUUGAUUUCAGGUAACGACCACCUGCAGUGAUGCAAGACCACCUAUUAUAAAUUUCAAAAUUUACUGAAAACUAGUUUCAUAAACGGAAAAGCAUAUGCAUGACACUUCAUUAAUAUUAAAAAACAUUUCAGGGUUGCCCCAGUUCAAAAAUAUAAAGAUACUUAAGAAGUACAGGAAAUCUAGCUAAAAGAAACCCUUACAGUCUCCAGCUGUAUGAAAAGGCAUAAGGCAGCUUCUUCUGUGGCUUUUGAAGAUGAAAGUGGAGGCUAAUCCUUGUUUUCCGCUCAAUAAUGUCAAAUUCAGCUUGCUCCCACACAUACUGCACAUUUUAAUCAGAGCAUUUCGAUAUUACUCAGUUGGAAGCAUCAAGCUGUACUUCCUCCAUUAUUACCAAAGAAGAAGAACACAUCCACCAGAAAAAAGUAAGCUCAUCCAAUAUAAUACUAGCUCCCAGCACUUGUGCUAUGAACCCUUUUUCUUUUCCACAGUACCAAUGGAAAGCUCAUUGCUUGAAGGGAUAGUAUAUGUUCACAUGCACAAAACAAACAUCCUAAUGUAUGGGGAGCACUUUUGACCAUACCAAUGGCCCAAAACCAGGAACAGGGUGCUACAUGAUUCAGAAGAAGCAACCACUGGCGCAAAGCAAGGAAAAGGUGCUACAUGAUUCAGAAGAAGAAGAAGAAGAAGGGGGGGGGGAGGGGGAUGGAGAGAGAGAGAGAGAGAACAGGAAAAUGGUGGUAUUCAAGAAACACAUGCAUCUCCUUUGUCUGACAUGCUUAUCUAAAGCUAGAUUUAUUACCCUAGAAUAAUUAAGAUUCAAAAAGAUUUUGUACAAGUGUUAUUUAGAUACCAGUGAACUCCAAUGAUAUUCAUAAAGAUGAUAACUCAUUAUGCAGAUCGAUUAAUCGAUUAUAUCCUGAGCAUACUUUUAUUUCAAAGUUACUCCAUGAUAAGAUGCAAUAUGUGUACCUUGAAAUUGGCAAACCUCCUUUGAAGCCUUAACUUUUGCUCUGAUGAUGUGCCACCAUACAAAUCCAUAACAAAUAUACCUCCUCUUCUGGACAAGAAACCUAAAACGUGCCUGAAAUACAAAACCAGCUCUUUACGUUUAUGGAGGCAGCAACAGCUGUAGUUGAAGGCGCAUACUAUGUCCCUCCCAGGGAGUUGCUUAGAACUUAUAUUCAAAGGCAUCGUACGGGGAGAGCUCAUACAAUCACCCUGCAAAAUGGAUUGUUGAUCGUCCAUUCUUGGAUCCUCUUCACUUGGAUCUAGUCUAAUAGUUCUUAUGCAAUCUCCAGAAUCAAAACUGACAAGCUUGGCCUCACAAGGUUGAAGAACAUUUCCAUGAAAAAGGGAAAUUCUUGAACUGUCAGCUCCAAUGGCAUUCACGUUGUUCUCCAUACACCAAUUUAAUGCCUCGACAUCUAAAUCCAAUCCCACAGCAGUGCGCCUUGGGUCAUUUCGGAGCCACUCUGUGCUGUCAAAUGCACAGAGAGAAUGAAAUUUUGGCCAAUACAAAUGUAACAACAAUCAAGCAAUAAGGGAAACACCAUUACUCUACUGACUGACUAGAUUAUCAAAGAGAUGUAUCAAUCAAAUUUUUGGUCCUCCAGAUUGUUCUUUGAUAUCAUUCAUAAAAUUCGAUGUGCAUGAGAUGGAAUAUUUUUCAAAUACCUGAAGAAGAAUCAAAGUUCUUCAUAAUUCACAUUAAAAACACAUUGCAAACUGAUUUAAGAGUAAGCAAUUAAAUGACCAACAAGAACCUAUUCAUUUGACCAAGAUACAAAGACGUCUCCAUAACCAAGUCAUCAAAUUGCAGAAGAAAACAAAAUUACAGGCACAAUAAUAGAAGGAUUGAGAACAGCAGUCCAGUUCCAAUAACUGAUGUCAGUGAACACAUACUUAAUUGAACAUCCGAUUGCAAUUAGUUUCUAAGGAAUCUAGGAUGCAUUCAAUAUUGAUAGUAUUAUUUUCAGGUGAAUUUAUAUUUCCAGUCAUCAAGGUUGACUAGAGUGACCAAAAGUGUGCAAUAUACCUGAGAAGAGCAGUCCCACAAAAAUCUUCUUGCAGAUGGAGGGGCUGCCUUCCACCCACAUACAUGAGAAAAAAUUUCUGCAAAUAGCUUAUAUCUCCUUUGGGCGACUGCAUUCAGAGAGAAACACAGGGAAGCCUCAUUACAGCUCUAUGAGCACAAAAUUGUUAGCAGGAAUUCAAUUUUAUGCAUAAAUCUUCUCUCAGGAAGAAUUGAAACUAAACAGAGUCGAAGAACUGCAGACCUGGACAGAUUGUUGGUAGAGGAGGAAUUUUGAUGGAAUAUCUAGUGAUGGGCUUCGGCCCUCAUGUUCUUGCUCUUGUUCUUCCUCUUCAACCUCCUCUUCCCCGUCCUCUUCAUCAGAAAGAGGAGGCUUCGAAGGUGAGGGGAAGUUUUCGUAGCUGAAACUAUUCUCUCCUCCUUCGAGAUAUUGAGAGGCUUCUCUGCGAGGGUGUCUUUGGUGCCUCUGCUUCUUCUCUCGCUUCCCCAUCUCCUGGAAUGCCCAAUACCAAGCUUAUGAUGCAGACAAAUUCUUCAAAGUCUUAUUUUGGCCAGUGAAGAUUGUGAAGUUCACCACGACCAAUUGUUACCCUCGUCAGGUAACAAAUCUCAUACAACUGAUAGAGAGAACAAAAAAUGUCCGUUCUACAUUACCGUAAAUUAACUAACUCCCAUGGGAGAGGCUACAUGAUUGAGUGUGUACAGGUGUGGGUGUGAGACCCAUGAUGAGGAACUGCCACUGGACAAAAUUGAGCCAAUUUCACAUAACUAGGCAUCUUAUUCCAUGAUUCAAUGAGUUAAUUACAAGGCUCGUUGCCUCGCGAACAUGUCCAAUUGAUCCGAAAACUGGGUUUGCAUAUGCAAGAUUAAUUUCCAAUUAGUUCUCAUUCUCAAUGUGAGUCAAUCUUGCAUUAAGUCAACCUUCAAUUGUUUUUCCCCAAUGAGUUCAAACAGUUAACAACAAGAAAGUACACAUUCUAAUAGUUAUGACCCAUUGAACUUACAUUCUCCUGAUUAAUGCCAGCUUUUAAAGAGCUUAAUCAAAAGAAAUUCCAGAAGCCAUUUUAAGAAAACGAAAAAAAAAAAAAAAUGAAAAUGUUGAACAAGCCCAGAAGAUGCUCCAACCUAAAAACCGAGCAACCGGAGAAAGAACCUAAAGGGUAUUUGUCUUCCCCACAACGAGUUCAAAUAGCUAACAACGAGAAAUUACACAUACUAAUACUUAUGAACCACCGAACUUACAUUCUCCUGAUUGAUGCAAGCUCUUGAAGAGCUUAAUCAAAAGAAAUUCUAGAAACCAUUUCAAGAAAAAAAAAAAAAAAAAAAAAAACCUUUUCUUGAACAGGCCCAGAAGAUGCUCCAACCUAAACACCGAACAACCAGAGAAAGAAAGUACCUAAAGAGCAUUUGUCUUCCCCCAACGAGUUCAAACAGUUAACAAAAAGAAAUUACUCAUACUAAUACUUAUGACCCACUGAACUUACAUUCUCCUGAUUGAUGCAAGCUCUUGAAGAGCUUAAUCAAAAGAAAUUCCAGAAACCAUUUCAAGAAAACGAAAAAAAAAAAAAAAACCCUUCUCGAACUAGCCCAGAAGAUGCUCCCACGUAAACACCCAACAACCGGAGAAAGAAAGAACCCAAAGGGCCGAGAGAGAGAGAGAGAGAGAGGAUUAACCUGAUGAUGGUGGCGGCGACGGGGUUAGGCUGCGGAGAUACGAGCAGAGUGGCGAGAGAGGAGGUUGGACUGGGGUCAGAAUUAGAAAGGGCUUCUGUUCAGUAUCUGGCCUGCGCAAGAGCAUUCCCAUGGACAAAAACAAUAUUUCCACACUAGAUAAAUGGCAAUUUGCCUAGGCGUUUCUCGAAAUUUAGUUUUUCGGAUUUUUAUUUAUUUGGCUCGUCAAAAUAAUUAGUUAACCGAAAACAUUUCUUGAUUAAUUAAAAUAUUCAUUGAUGAAAUUAGGAAAGUGAAUUCUUAAAUUUAAAAUGGUGAAAAUGCUCUCGGGAAUUGCUAAUAUCAAUUCUUUAAAUAUUUUAUUUUAUUUUUCAUUUUCUUCAUCUUCUUUUUCUUUUUCCUUCUCUUUCCAUCAAUGCCAAAUCUCAACAACAACCGGUGACCGGCUACAACUUACAAGCACAGGCCAACAAGAUCAAGCUUGCCCUAUCCCUACAAGCUUAAGCCUAGCUCAAGGGCAGAUGCUCUACCUCGUUAGAUCUGACAAGGCUCAAGCCUUACUUGUGGCCUAUCGCUAAGAAGGGAAAGAAAAAAAAAGAUAAGAAUUAAAAAAUAAUUUCAAACUUCCAUUUUUUUCUAAAUAAAAUCAUGAGAUGGAAAUUAUGUUCCAAAUGAGGUCAAAAUAUUACGAAAUUUUUUUGAUCACACAUCAUUAAAUAAAAGAAAAUUGUCUAUAUUCCUAAAUAUUAUUUUUUUUAAAGUAUUUUUUUGUGUUAUGAAAUUUUUCUCCAGUUAAAAUCCUCUAAGUUAAUAAUUUUCAGUAUUGAGCUAUCACAACAAUUAGUGCUUUACUUUUGUAAAUUGAUAAAUACAUAACAUUAUUUAUGUUUUAUUUGUUGUUAGGAGAUUUGAACGUGGAAUGGGCAUUUCAUGAGAGUUCAUUCUACCCUUUUUAUGAAAAAGACAGUGUACAAGUUUCAAUUGCGAAAUAAUGCCAUUGAUUAUUGUACAUAAGUAAUUUAUACAUGUUUAAAUUUGAAUUACAGAUUUUAUAGUAAAUUAAUUUUGAAAAUAUGUGAUGAUGAAAGAGAGUAAAUGUUGGUAAAGCAAAGAAAUCCAGUUUUUUGUAAUUUUUAACGAUGUGAAUUGCUUAUCAACCUAAUUCAUUAUUGAAACCUCGAGAAUGAAAGGUAGAUUUUUUUUAAAAAGUGCAAGAAUCAUUUUGACUAGAAAAAUGGAGAGAUGGUUUUAAAUUUUGGCUAAAAUUACAAAAAUCAUCAAUGUCGUUAUAUAUAUUGAUUUAUAUGAGCUACACAAUUAGUCUUAAAGAUGAGCAGCCAGGGCGGUUCAAUCUAGGUAUCGUCCCAAAUCUGCUUUACUUGGCCAACUCAAAGCCGCACAAGAAUCAGUUAAGUAUGAGUUUACAAAAAUUGGGACUAGGCAAAUACUCGGUCAAUUCCUGAUUUCGUAGUCUGAACCGGUUCGAACCAACCCUAGGAACAAUUCGUAGCUCCUGACAUGCCCAGACCCCUUCUGUCGUUCUUAGGGUUUUCCUUCUUUUGCUCUUUAUGGGCUUGUAUAAGUUAAUUCUAGCUCAAUGGGCUUAAGUUCUAUUCACCAGUAAGGCAUGGGCUGACACCAUUCAUCAAAAUUAGGUCCAUGGGCCAAGGUGAUGAGUUUGGGCAUGGGCCGCGUGAAUUGACCUGGGCCGCGGAUGGCAGAUCUGACGAAUUGUGUCAGGUCCCUCUCGUGGGUUUAUACAAAUUGGACCAAAACCCAAUUAUUCCUCCCUUCAAUUAAUUUUUAUUUUUCCUUUGAUUUGCUUGUUAUCCGUUUAUUUAUUUAUUUUUGUCAUUAUCUGGUCAUUUUCUUUUAUUUUGCACUGUUACAAGAAUGAAGAUUUGAAUUGUUGACUAAAACUCAGGUGUCAAUAGAAAUGAGUAAAUUGUAAUCAUUUUGCUCUAUUUUUCAUGUGUUCGGCUAAUUUCACGUGAGAGGUGAAUUCUUUUGCUUUUGAUAUAGUCAAGACGCUAUUAGCAAAGCAGCACUGAGAACAAUCCACCUUUUCUUUUUUCUCAGGGUAGAUUUCAUUCUCAUAAUCACGCUGGCAACUUGGCCGUGAUUUGGAAUUAUUCGGUAAAUUUUCACAUAAUUACUGGAAAGGAAUCAAAUAUAAAUUGUCGAAUAGCACAAAUUCAUGAAUAUUAUUUGGCAGGUUAAAUUGGAAAUCAUAAUUUCCUCCGGCUUUGCUUUUGUGACUCAUCUAUAGAAGCACUUAAAAAUUGUGGAAAGCUAUUUUCCCGAUUAUUCGUUAUUUGUUACCUUUUAGAAAAUCAGUCAACCAUUUUUUUUUUUUAAGGAUCACAAAAUUUAUAGCUAUUUUUGUCAAAGAGGGCUCCCAAGUCAUUCUUCAAAAAUUCACUUCCACCUUCGCAAUUGCCAUGGGUUGGACAUACGCUAUCAACAAGCAAUAGGAGUAAAAAUCAACGCAAAGAGGGUGAUCUUUUUAAGGCCUCUUGCUGAAGAGCAGAUAAAGGAUGUUGCUCUAAAUUCUAGUAUGGUGUCUAGCAUGAGAAGAUUUGCUCGAAAAAUAGCAAAAUGAUAUGGUGAAUCACAUUUCGAAUGUGAUAAAGCCAAUUGUCAUUAAUGCCAUAAGUGAUAAAUCUUCUGAUAAAGAUAAUAAUCAGGCUGAUGUUGGUCAAAAUAACCAAAUUGGUGAUAAUAAUUUGGCAAAUCAAACUAUUGAACAAGACAGUCAAUUGCCAAAUGUUGAAAAUGCAAGGCAAGUAGCCCCAUUGGUACCACUCAAUGUGAAUAUUCCUAUUGGGUUUAACAUGUCAAUUAACAUAAAUAAUCCAGCAAGACCAGCAUCGCUACCUAGGGAAAAGAUGGCCAACCGUAUCCACACUUGGAUGCUGCGUAGUUUGCCAAAGAAGUUUGACAACAAUUGGGGCUGGACAUGAUUGUUAUCACACUUGUUUAUAGGAAACCACAUUUGAAUGGAUUGAUAAUGAGCCUUUUCCAAGAAGUUUCAAUAUGCUCAACUUUGCCAUUUUUACUAGUGGAGAUGAACAAUCGAUCAUCAAACACAUUGUUUAAUUUAUAGCCCAAUUUGGGGAAGUAGAGAGAAAUGAGUUUUUAAGAUUUAAGUUAUUUCCUAUCUUUGUCGAAGAUUGCUUUCAUUUAAUAUGUUAAUUUACCACCCAAUAUAGUGUGUAAUUGGGUAGGAGAUGGAAAGACAAUUCCAUUCUUAAUUUUAUAGAACAAUACUUGAAGUAUCAAUCGCUAAUUUCACUAGAUUUUAUCAAACAUAAUAGUUAGUCAAUCGCUCAAUUUAUCGCUCAAUUUAAAAAGGCAAAAAAUGGAUGCUUCACUUCGCUAUCAUAAAGAAGUCGCUAAUUUGACUUUCAAUAGAUUAAAAUUUGACUUGUGAGAAAGACUUGAAGGUCAAGACUUUGUUAAUUUAUUUCAAUUGGCAACAAGAGUGUCUAAAUAUGAGCAAUUGCUAAAAGACAGAGAUAAAGAGACACAUGAAUACUUUAUACAAAAUAUGGCUCUAAUAGAGUCAGAAUAUCAAUCCAACCUCUAUGAAAACAUUAAAAUAAAUGUUUGCAAAAUUGAUGCUCGACAAGUCUUACAUUUAUCAAUCCCUGAAGCCUACCAAAAUAAAAGACACAAGAAUGGUCAAGGCUAAAGACACUCAAGUUUACUUGUUUGACAUUAAUAAGUGGGAUGAAGUCUUUGAUUUACUCCAUAAAAGAUGGCCUGAUAAAAUUAACGGAAGGUUAAUUUAUCUUGAGCAAGGAAUUUACAAAAAAUAUGGCAAGGGGCACCAUUCCUAGAGUUAUAACACAAUGGAUUGUGUUGUUUUCAAGAUAGCAAUACAAAUAGCAAUUUAGAAGGGAAAUAUCAACUUUGCCAUUGACAGUAAGGCAUUUGAUUACUCUUAAUUAUCUAAUUUAUAAGAAUUGAAUGAUUGAGUAAUUGUUCAAUUCUUUUAAAAGGAGUAUGUUGACACAAAAAAAAAAAAAAAGAGAGACCAAGUUUUAAUUAUUAUUGACAAGUAUUAGAACUUAGUCGAUAAGAACAAAAUUUGGUUAACAAUGAAGAAUAAGCUAUAGUUUGAAGAAGAUAGACAACUCGCCAAGGAAGUCAUCCACAACGUCCUGAAACCAUCUUCAAAGAGUUAUAAAUAUCCCAAGUAUAUUCAUUAUAAAAUGACUCCCAAUUAAUCAAAGAACUCAACAUUCUCACAAAUUUAUAGUUUAUCUUUACUUUCUUGUAUCUUAUAUAAUUGGCAACUUUUAUUCCUAAUACUGUACUUUUUCGUUUUUUGUUAUUGCUUUACAACCUUUACUGAUUCACUCGCUAAAUCAUCCAUAUUCUGGAAGGAUAUGUCAUCAUCAUUUUUGGUGAAAUAGAUUAAGUGCGCAUAAAUUCUAUAGCAUAACUAAUAAAAAAGAAUAGUCCUUCCACCAUUACAAAAGUCGAUUAAUCUGACCCCAAAAAAAAAAUCCGGCUAUGAAACUUGAGUACCACCCCCAGCUGCGUGCACAGCCACGUCGCAUUCAUUCUUUUCUGGGCCGUUCUCGAGCAGACGAAUUGUGCACAGUAAUCGAAAUGGUGCAAACAAAGAUAAUCGUGUCUCGGCCACGCUCUCCAAGACGCGUGAGAACAACCCUCCUUCUCGGGCGUUUUCUCCGUGAAUAAUCUUGGCCUCUUCAGUAGCCACCCUUCCAACAUGGAAGGGGGAGGUGAGGGGUUCAAAUCCCCACCUUCUCAGGGGGGGAUGAGGGGUAGGGACGCGUAAGUUUCGAGAGUGGGUUACGACUCCCACGCCCUGCACGAGGCAGGGCACAAGUCUGCGAGUGAGUGUAGAGUAGGCAUAGAGUAGGACUGACCAAAAAAAAAAAAAAAAAUCUUGGCCUCUUCUCUGUCCGGCCAAUUAUCCUUCUCCUAACAUCACAAACAAAUUGUUUGCUCAAAAAAAAAAAAAAAGACGUUGUGAUCCGUGCCGAUUNNNNNNNNNNNNNNNNNNNNNNNNNNNNNNNNNNNNNNNNNNNNNNNNNNNNNNNNNNNNNNNNNNNNNNNNNNNNNNNNNNNNNNNNNNNNNNNNNNNNCGCACCCCGGAGGAUUCAAUUCCGUCUGACAUGUAAUCGACGAGGUCGAUUGAUCAUUGCUUUGAUUUGAUGUCGUGGAUUGAUUGACUGAUUAAAAAUGACCAUGAGCGGUCUUGUUGGCUUGUAAUCGACUGGGUCGAUUAGAUCGAUGCUUCGAUCGGUGAUAUGAUUGUUUGAGUGUCUAUUAUGAAUUGUACUGACUUGCAGGUGGGAUCUGAUGCUAAGGUACGUCCUCUGCCCUGUGCGUGUUUAGGCAGCCUAUAGUAUAGUGGUUUACUAAUUGGGCUUAGUGGGGUAGAACUCGCUGAGACGUAGUCUCAUCCCAGUUUGGGGAAAAACAUUUCAGGACCCGAUAAGGAGCUGAGGAGGAGAAGUCUGGGAAGGAGAUCUUGGAGGUGAAACUUGAAGGGAAGGAUUUUGAAAGAAGAAGAUAAUACCGAGAUGGGCCUUGAGGAUGGCAUGGAUGGAUUGAGAUCCUAUCUUCUUUUGAGAUCUCCAUUUUGAUGUGAAUAGUUUUGAAGUGGUUUUUGUUUUGUAUAAAAGUUUGGUUAUAAAUUUCAAUAUGAAAAAUAUGGCCCUGCUUUUCUAUCCCAUCGUUUUAUUGUCUGGGGAUUUUAACUGCUUCCGCAUGUGCUUAAUAAACUAAAGGGUCGGCGAUACUUGUCCUGGGAUAUCGCAUUAUAAAAUCGACCAAAUGAGAAAGAUGUGUGCGUGCUCGAGGAUCGGGGCGUGACAUCCUAUUUAAGNNNNNNNNNNNNNNNNNNNNNNNNNNNNNNNNNNNNNNNNNNNNNNNNNNNNNNNNNNNNNNNNNNNNNNNNNNNNNNNNNNNNNNNNNNNNNNNNNNNNNNNNNNNNNNNNNNNNNNNNNNNNNNNNNNNNNNNNNNNNNNNNNNNNNNNNNNNNNNNNNNNNNNNNNNNNNNNNNNNNNNNNNNNNNNNNNNNNNNNNNNNNNNNNNNNNNNNNNNNNNNNNNNNNNNNNNNNNNNNNNNNNNNNNNNNNNNNNNNNNNNNNNNNNNNNNNNNNNNNNNNNNNNNNNNNNNNNNNNNNNNNNNNNNNNNAGCUCGAGUGUAAGAGUACCACUGCAGGUUGGUACUAGUGUAGCAGCGUCGAAUGAUCCUAAGUUCGAUAGGAUCGUUCUGAUGCAAGUACUUCUUGGGAACUGGAUGAGCCAGUAAGCUUAGGAUCAAGCCGCUGUCGUUGUCGCUAUCUCUACCGCCGUCAGUGUUGUAAUCGCCGUUGUCGCUUCACCUGUUGAGAUCCAGAGUGGGGAUAUGAUCUGGGAUCAAGCCAUCGCUUCCAAGUCAAGGUACAGAUCUAGUCCAGGCAUAAAUGAAAAUCGGUCGGGGAAAAGAUCGAGGUCGAGAGUGGUGUUAGCAGACCGAUGAGACAACCAGAAAGAGUGUGUGCUGUCAGUUGGCAGGAGAUAGAAGACUCACCUGAUAGGUGUCAGAAUUGUAGAUGGAAGCAUGGAUAAAUCUAGUGUCCGAAUAUGACUAGAACAUGUUGUGAUGACGACUAGCAUGGCCAUCAGAUGAAGGACUGUCAGUGGAAGUCUAAGGUAGCAUAGACAUUGCUACUGCGGCCAAAACGCCAGCAAGAUGGCAAAAGGAACAGGAACGGAACCGACUAUACCUUAUUCAAUGACAGAAUAUUUUGAGGUGAUUUUAUCAGAAUAGUGCUAGAGAAUGUUGGGAUUGCAAGUGUGGAAUUUCAGUUGUUUGUUAAGGCUGUAGGAAAAGAACCAUUGACUAAAGUUGUACUUGAUUGGCUGUUGGUGUACAACUCUAUCGUUAAGUGUAGAAAGAAUUGGUUCUUGAGCAUUUUAUGGUGAUGAAUUGUUAUGGUAGAAUAACCCAGCUUAUCCCAGGAGCAUGUAGAAGUACCGAGUUUUACUGAGAGUUGAGAAGGGUCCUUGACUUCUUUGAUCUCGUCACUUGAGGUAACCUGGUUGUCAAACAGAAAUUAUCGAGAUUAGUGGGCAAUGAUCUUAGAUAAGACAGAUUGAAGAAUUAAAAAUUGAGAACUCCUCAGUAGUCCAAGAAUUCUUGGAAGUGUUGCCAGAAAAGUGGUCAGACCGUUGCUAGAGAAAGAGAUAGAAUUACGAUCAAGUUAACAUCUGGAACUAAACCAUUCUCUAAAAGUCCUUACCGGUUGUUGUUGUUUGAAUUGAUAGAACCAAUGGUUCAGAUGUGAGGAUUGAUGAAUGAUGAAUUCAUGCAUAUCAGUGCAUCACUUUAGGGAUCAUCAGUUUUGUGAAAAGAGAAAGAAAGAUGGUUUGUUGCAAUUAUGCAUCAACUAUAGUUGACCCAAUCAAGUGACAAUCAAGGAUAAGUGUUCAUUGUCAAAGAUCGACGAAUUGGGCGACUUGUUAUAAAGAGUGUGGAUGUCUUCAAGGAUCGACUUGAGGACAGGUUAUUGUCAGUUGAGAACCAGGAAGGAGGUUAUACUGAAGACGGCAUUUCGCACUUGAUUUUGUCCUUGUGAGAAUAAUGUAAAGCCAUUUGAUUUGACGAACGCUCCAGCCGCUGUCAUAGAUUUGACAAAUCGAGUGUUCAAAGAAUAUCUAGAUCAAUGGUGAUCGUGUGGUAUAGCAACAUUAUAGGGUGUUCAUUAAGUGUUGAGAAUCACGAGAUGCCCCUAAGAAUGGUCGUGUGGUUACAGGUAAAGGAAUCUUCAUGGACCCAGCCAAGAUCGAAUCAGUUGUUAAUGGACCGAGACCGACAUCAAUGUCAGAGAUCAGAAGUUGUGGGGAUUUGACAGAUUACUACGGAAGGUUUGUGAAAGAAUUUUCAGCAUCAGUAUCAUCAUGGGCUUGACCUCUUGAGAAAGAAGAGAAAUUCAUUGGCAUAGACAAGUACGAGAAUAGUUUCCAGAGCUUCAGUAAGAUCAGGCUACCGCACUUGUGCUAAACUUUUCAUUUGGCUCUAGAAAGCAUGAAACCUUUAGUGAUGUGUCUUGCCAACGAUUGGGUAUGUAUUGAUACAACAUGAGAAGAUUGUUGUAUAACCGUCCCGCCAGUUGAGACCCAACAAGUUGAACAUGAAACAGUGUCGUGAAUCAGAAUUUUGGCAGAACUAUAAUGAUGUUAUCUGGUAUUAUCUUGGGAGGAUGAAAGAAGUAAUUUAUGUGUUGAGCCGAGAGUCUUCGAUUAUACAUAGGCUGGCUAAAGUAUAAACUUUACUUAAAAAGGGUUCGAAAUUUGGUUUUCAAAUUUGAGGUAGGCUACCUUUUAAAUUUUAUAGCCGCCCUCAAAAUUGAACCAAAUGUUCAAGUUAGAAUCGGCGCCUAGUUGACAGACAGAGAUGUUCAGGAGAUCUUAUAAGAGGAUACUAGCAAGAAAGAAUCUAACUUUGAAACUUCUGAGGAUGGAACAUUCGGGUUCCAUGAGGAAUUGAGUGCACCUGACAAUGUAGCACUCAGGGAAAAGAUUUUGUCAGAAGUUCGCUAUAGUAUUGCAGCUUUGUCCAGAUGGUGCAAGUAAAUCAGAAUCGGCAUGAGCUAGAUUAGUAAGCUGAUAUGAAGAUAAAUACAGCUAAGCAGGUUGAAAGCGUCAGAAGUGUCAGUAAGUGGAAUGCGAAUCGGGAGGAUUUUACCAUCACUUGAGAGUCCCAAGUGAAAAUGGAAAUAUAUCACAAUGGAACAUUGUGAUAGGCUUACUAAAGAUUCAGGGGAUUACUGAUACCAUUUGAGAAUAGUGGUUGAUCGAUAGAUGGAGUUGGUCUACGUUGGUACAGUAUGAGUAGAUCUUGUUUUGAGUAUGUAGCAUCCAGAUUUCGGGCUUUGAUUUCGAUUAGAUAAAUUGGGCAUUUCCUCGAUGCGAUUACAGUGUUUUUCUCUGAGUUGGCCACUCAUGAGAUAACUAGACUAGCUGGGUGAGUUAUUAAGGACCUUAAGGCAAAUAGACUUGAGAACUCGACCAUGGAUCGACUUCUCGACCGUGCUCAUCUUUAGAGAUCAUUGCGGCACAGUAUAAAAUCGAUUUGAAAUCAGAAAUAGAUCGGCUCGACUGAGAUGAAUGACCGAUCGUGGGUGACUCCACUAAAUUGGAAAAUUCUCAUCGACCGGUACUAAUUUGAUGUUUCUAUCGUUUUGGUACCCUGUGUCCGUAUUUGAACCUUUGAGAUUUUCACGAUAAUCGAGGGUCGCCAAUGUGUCGAGUGGGUUCAUUGUGGUUCGAAGAAAAUCGACCACGGGUCAUUUGUCCUAAAAAGCUCUGAACACUACCCAGUAGCCUAGGUCACAUUAAAAGUGUGUCGGAGUGAAAUUAACCACCAAUCUAAGUUCGAUUUCAGAAAUUGAAGAUCCUAUCUUGUUACAGAGUGGGUAUACCGAAGUGUGUGUGCAUUAAAUAAUUCGCCGGCAUGGAGUGUCGAGGAUGAAUUAUAUUUCGAAUCUAAAUCAGAGAUUAUAAAUUUGGCAAAGUUUCAGAGGAUUCUUUAUUAAGCAGUGUAUAGCAGAGGGUAUAGAAUUUCAGUGGAGAAAAGAAAGUGAAUAAAGAUUUCAGGCCAAAGUCAUUACAGUAGCCAGUGAUUACAGUUGCCAAGAUCAGUGCCAGAGUUAUAUCAGAUCUUGACCAGAGAUUCCCAGUUUCAGCAGAUUAGUCAAAUAGUUUCUCUUUAAUCAGUGCAAAGCAGAGUGUACAGGAUUUCAGUCGGUGGAGAUGAGAUCAGAAAUUUGAAAAUCGCAAGUCCAGAGUCAGCUCAGUGAUCAGUAUUUGCAGUUGUUAGAUCAGUGUCAGAGUAAAGGCUGCUCAGAACUGUCAGAAAUUUCGAAUUGUUGAGGUUCGAAGGUUUACUAGAGAGUCGAGAAAAAGUGAUCAGAUGUGGAUGACAGCGUGUCUUAUGUGAGAAGCUCAGUCCAGUUGUUUGUUCAGAAAGAGCAGAUUUUGUGUACAAAGAUGAUCUUCUUGGUCAAAGUGGUUAGACAACGCCACGAGACCGAAUGAUCAGCGUGGAAAAGUGAGACUCGAUGAGACGGCAAUACCCCCACCUUUCAUUUAUGGAUUGAUGAAGGUUUAAAUUUCGAGGACGAAAUUUUUAUAAGAGGGGAAGAGUUGUGACAUCCAGAUUUUCGGGUUUUAAUUUGACUGGAUAAAUAGGAUCCUGUCUCAUCGCUCGUCAAUUUAUUGACGGGCCCGAAAUUUCAAUAAAGAAAUUAUCGGAAGAAAAUCUGAAGACCAAAAGAAAAUAGAAAGGGAAAGAGAAAAGAAAAGAAAAGAAAAGAAAAGAAAAAUAAUACCAUGUGGUAUUAUAUUAGUAUUUCUUUUCUCUCCCUCUCUCUUCUUUUCUUUCUUUUUCUUUUUCUCUCUUUCUCUCUCUCUUCUCUCCCCUUUUCUUCCGUGCGGACAGCCCCCUCCCCACGCCAACUCUCUCUUUCUCUCUCCCUUUGACCAUUCAACCUUAUCUCUUCUUCUCUCUCCUCUCUCUUCUCCCCCACGUGACCUUCUUCUUCUUCUUCAUUCUUCUUUGUGCGAACCAGACCAAAACCAGCAAAGAAGAGCAGCAGCUCGCCGAGGACCACCGUCGCCCGUCUCGCCGUCGCACCGGAGCCGAACCGCCCGCGACGCCGCCCGCACAACGUAGCGCGUUCCGCCGGCCAUCCCUCACGCCCAGGCGUGCUCUCCCGCACGAUCCAGCUACUGCCCAUCCUCUGUCCAGCUCCGUUCGGCCACGAUUCGGCCACCUCCGGCCACCGUGGGCCACCGCUCGGCCUCGCCAAGCCACCACCCGCUCUCCCGACCUCUUGCCGCCCCCAACCCUCUCUCUUUCUUGCUGUUUUGCGGCCGAACCAGCAAACCCACGGAGUGGGUAUCCAGCUGUUCGUGGGCCGUUUUGGGCCGUUUCCGGACCCCGAACCCGAGGCCCGCUUUGGGAAGAAGUGUUCCUCGCGUCGCCGCCGUCGGAUUGAUCCGAUUUGCGCGCGAUUUGGUGAGUAAUCUCACUAAUCUUUGAUUAGUUGGCUAAUUAUGCUUAAGGUUGGUUUAGUUUUAAUUAAUUAUGUUUAGGUUGUUAGAUUAGAAUAAAUUAGCAAUUAUUAGUCAAUUGUGAUGUGAUUUAGAUAAAUUGAUUGUGCAAUUAACAAGUAGACGUGGUCUACUAUUUAUUGGAAGUAUCUCGGGAAUUUUCCGACCCCUAAUUGGGCUUCAAUUUGGCAAUUCGGGCCUAAGUGAGAUUUUUGGGCAUUUAAAUAUUAAUUUUCGGAAUUAAAUUAAAUAAUUAUUUAUUUUCCGAAAAUUCAAGGGAGAUGGUUUGUGACCGGAAAAUUAUGCUGGUGACGGUGGUGAAGUCCGUUUAUUUAAUUGGGCUUUAAAUUGAGUUAAAUCGAAUUUUUAAUACUAAUUAUUUAAUUUUCGAAAUUUAUUAAUUAAUUAAUUAUUUUCCGAAAAUUCAACUGAGAUGGCCCGUGAUCGGAAAAUUAUGCUGAUGACCGUGGUGAAGUCCGUUUAUUUAAUUGGGCCUUAUUUUGAGCUAAACGGAAUUUUUUAAUGUUUAAUAAUUAAUUUUCGAAAUUAAUUAAUAAUUAAUUAUUUUUCGGAAAUUAAGAUUGAGAUGGCCGACGACUGAAAUCUCGUGCUGAUUGUAGUGGUGCAGUCUGUUUAUUUAUUUGAGCUUUGAAUUGUGCCAAAUUAAAUUGAAUCUUGCAGUGGUCGAGUGGGACCGUAAAGCCAUAGAAUCUUGCAAGUGGUCGAGUGGGACAGUAUAGCCACUGAAUCUCGAAAGUGGUCGAGUGGGACCGUAAAGCCAUUGAAUCUUGAAAGUGGUCGAGUGGGACCGUAAAGCCAUUGAAUCUUGAAAGUGGUCGAGUGGGACCGUAAAGCCAUUGAAUCUUGAAAGUGGUCGAGUGGGACCGUAAAGCCAUUGAAUCUUGCAAGUGGUCGAGUGGGACCGUAAAGCCAUUGAAUCUUGAAAGUGGUCGAGUGGGACCGUAAAGCCAUUGAAUCUUGCAAGUGGUCGAGUGGGACCGUAAAGCCAUUGAAUUUCGAAAGUGGUCGAGUGGGACCGUAAAGCCAUUAAAUAUUGAAUGUUGUCGAGUGGUGGACUGUGUCUUCCACCUUUGCUUAAGAUGUGAUCUGAGGACCGUAGUUCGUAAUUGAUGAUUGAGAUGGAAUAAUCGAAUUUACCUAGAAUGGUCCGUCUGACAUGUAAUCGACGAGGUCGAUUGAUCAUUGCUUUGAUUUGAUGUCGUGGAUUGAUUGACUGAUUAAAAAUGACCAUGAGCGGUCUUGUUGGCUUGUAAUCGACUGGGUCGAUUAGAUCGAUGCUUCGAUCGGUGAUAUGAUUGUUUGAGUGUCUAUUAUGAAUUGUACUGACUUGCAGGUGGGAUCUGAUGCUAAGGUACGUCCUCUGCCCUGUGCGUGUUUAGGCAGCCUAUAGUAUAGUGGUUUACUAAUUGGGCUUAGUGGGGUAGAACUCGCUGAGACGUAGUCUCAUCCCAGUUUGGGGAAAAACAUUUCAGGACCCGAUAAGGAGCUGAGGAGGAGAAGUCUGGGAAGGAGAUCUUGGAGGUGAAACUUGAAGGGAAGGAUUUUGAAAGAAGAAGAUAAUACCGAGAUGGGCCUUGAGGAUGGCAUGGAUGGAUUGAGAUCCUAUCUUCUUUUGAGAUCUCCAUUUUGAUGUGAAUAGUUUUGAAGUGGUUUUUGUUUUGUAUAAAAGUUUGGUUAUAAAUUUCAAUAUGAAAAAUAUGGCCCUGCUUUUCUAUCCCAUCGUUUUAUUGUCUGGAGAUUUUAACUGCUUCCGCAUGUGCUUAAUAAACUAAAGGGUCGGCGAUACUUGUCCUGGGAUAUCGCAUUAUAAAAUCGACCAAAUGAGAAGGAUGUGUGCGUGCCCGAGGAUCGGGGCGUGACACUUAGGAUGCGAAUGAUAACUAUUCUAGCUAAAAAUUGAUCUCUAGAAGAGAAAUAGAUUUUUUCAUUUCUAUUAUUGAAUGAGUUUUAAAUACAAAUAUUCAUUUGGUAACGACACAAAAUUUUUCCCUCUUAGGCUACCGACGUCAACAACUGGCAACGGUAGGGGCAACCGGUGGCAUUAGUGGCGGCGAACCGGUGAGGUCGACGAUCAACGACGGUUGGGGAGUGGUAGUGGCGAAUGGCAAACAGCAGCUGAUGGCGAUAGAUGGCCAGCAAGCGAUCAACGACUGGUGUCGGUAGUAACAGUAGCGUUGGCAGGCAGCGACUGCAGUUGGGGAGUGGCGAUGGCAGACAGUGGACGGCAACCAGUGGCAACAGAUGGGCGGCUAGCGACUAGCCACUGGCGCUGGUAGCAACGAUAGUUGUUGGGGAGUGGCGAUGGCGAGCGAACGAUUGGCGGUGAUGUAUGGGCAACUAGCUAAUAAGGAG